rnacentral:lncRNA from 1 species
GCAGCUUGCAGAUCGAACGCUAAGUUUCCCAAAGGGAAUAUUGAAGAACCUCUGCGUCCGAGUUGGUACCUUGUACGCUCCAGCAGACUUCGUGGUGAUAGAGACUGGUACUGAUGAGAGGGCACCCAUCAUCCUAGGGAGGCCAUUCCUGAACACCUCGGGAGCUGUCAUCUACGCUAGUGCUGUCGAGAUCAGUAUCUACAUCAAGGGAAAGAAGGAGACAUUUUCCUUCAAGAACAAGAUUACACAAAUCUCAAAUCAAUCCCGACAUGAACCAAGGAAGAGGAUCAACAGGAGGGACAGGAACAAGUAAAUGUGGACUGAGUCAGCUAAGAUGGUCACUGCAGCUCAAGGUGGUCAAGAUCGUCAACUCAAGUCGCCUUUCUCGAUCAAGAAGGACGACCCUAGCAUUCCAAGCAUCGAGUGCACAAUCAACGGAUAUUCUAUUCAGAAGACACUCUACGACACCGGAUCUGAUGUCAAUGGCCGCAGUCACCUAUUAGCUCCUGUUUAGAACCAUGCCCCUACAACCAAAAUACAUUCAGCUCCAGAUGAUUUGAAGGUUAUUGUCAUGGGAGAAGACGAGUACAAUCCACCCAUCAUCCUUGGAAGACCGUUCCUCAACACCGUUAAAGUAAUCAUUUACAUUGGAACCGGAGAAGUCCACAUGCACUUCCCCUCUGAGAAGGUACGCCGCUAUUUUACUGACCCUAACCAUAUAGUUGAAGACUCUAAGCAGGUCAGGACAAGAAGAAGACGAUGCAACCGCAAUCAGAGAAGGCAAAUCAUCAAGGACGGAUGGGUAGACUAUGAAGGAGAAGUUGUAAGGUCUGAAGACAUAAAGCUUGAACAGAACUGUCCUAAGGAGACCGUAGCACCGAGUCAGGUGUGGAGAGAGAAGAUAGUUAUACACGAAGACCAGGCACUGCCAGAAUCACCGACUACGCCAUCCACCGAAUCCCAGGACGAUUGAGAAAACGGAGAGUCUCGUUCGGAGGACUUAAAAACACCGAACGCCUUGCCAAGAGAAUUAAAGGAUCAAAGAAGACUAGUAGACAGAGGACAUCCUAAUCAAUGUCAGGGUGCUGCCGACAUUCAAAUACACCUCCGCCACCUGCUACAUCAAAAGGAAUUACGUCAAAAUCCAGCUUGGGGGAGAGCACCUCCAUUUAUCCAGCUAAGUAUUCUACUCAUGUUUAUAUUUUACUCAAAUAAUAAAAAGAUGCAUAAUCAUAAAAACCCAAAUAAAUAUUUUGUGCUUAUAUAUAUAUAUAUAUCUUUGCUUAGUUUGCUAAAUAAAUAAAUAAAUAAAAAUUUGCUAUGAACCCUCAUGAUAAGCUCUCACAUGGAAAGAUGAAUAGUUGCUCUGCCAUGACUAGUUCUCAAAAUUGAAAUCUCUCUCAAGUUUAGGCAUCACUGUUAUUAAUUAAGAUUUGCUCUAAACCUGAACUUGUGGGAAGAAUACUUGAUCUGAAGUCUAAGUCGUUAACGGAUAUGAUAUGGGAAGGUUGAGCUGCUGUUUAUCUGUUCCUAGAGAUGCUAGAAUUCUGGAGAAUUUUAUCUUUGAAAAUCUUUAAAAUAUCACAUGAUGAGUUCCUGUAUGAUGAGAGUUUAAAUUCCUACCACAGCCAUAUAUACAUGCUUGCUAGACUUUGAGCCACACAUUUACUUUUUACUGCUUAUGAGCAUUGAGUGUGGUCAAGCUGUGUAGACCCUUAGGAGCUUGUCAUGUGGUUAAAUCAAGAUUCACUUGCACGUUCACUCACACAUGCUACUUCUACUCUAGAAGUACCAUCCACAUAUAUCCAUCCAUUUCCAUCUCCAGAACCACCCAAAAAAAUAUUCUACUCCUAAUCCGAGAGAGAAUAGCCAAAAACAUUCUCCUAUUUAUGUUUUUCCUGUGUGAAAUAAAUGCUCAAGUUAUCUUGGUUACUACCACUUGCUAUAUUAUUUCAGGAGAUGAGUGCUCUAAAAAAAGAGAAAGAAAAAAAAGAAUACGAGGAAAUAAAAAGGGGCAAGUGCCCGGAACCUCAAAAAAAAAGGAAAGUGAGACGAGAGGUAAAAAUGGACAAGUGUCCGACAGUAGAAUUAGGGGUACAAGAUACCCACCUGAAAGAAAAAAAGAGAAGAAGAAAAUAUAGAGCAUCUCAUUCUCCUCAAAAAGUUUCAAAAGAGCAAGAAAGGUAUGUAUCCCCUCAAAAGAGCAAAAGUAGAAUUAGACUUUCACCAUUGUUAUCACCAUCAUCACCAUACACCAUUCAUUCGCCACACAUGCACAUCUUGAUUUGACUUAUUGACUUGUUCUUCUGGAUCCAUGGUUUGACUAUGCAAUAAAUGUCUUGUAAGUAUGUAUUAGCUCUCUCCCACCUAUGAGCUCCAGAUAUCAAAAGCCUUAUUAGAGUAGGGUGAGAGAGAAGGCAAUGCCACUAUGCCUUAUACCACAAAUACCACAUACUUUGAGAGAAGGCAUAUACCAUCACUGCCUUGGUAAGGAUCCAGAAAUACCACAAAAGAGAGACUAGAGAGAGUCAUACAAGGAAUCUCUGAGUUUUAUUUGAAAAUCUGCAAAAACUCCAGAGCUAUAGCUGAUCAAGAAUAAGAGACAUGGUGCUUGACUAGACUGUUCUAUCUUUUAACUACUCAAGACAGAAGUGACGGUUACAAGUCCCAUGGUGAAAGGUAAAUGAGUAAGUUUUAAGUCUUAAUAGUUUACUCUAACCAGAGAUGAGAUCUUGUUUAAACGCAUGUGUAUCUUUAAGUUAUGAAACCACUGCAGAAACUCUUGAGUUCAUCUUUGCUCAGGGACGAGCAAAGGUUAAGCUUGGGGGAGCUUGUUGACGGUCCUUAAUGCUCACAUUUAACCAUCAACUAAUCAUAGAAAAGAAUCCAAAUACAAUCAACACCUAGACUUAGGGUUUUAUCUGACAGAAUUCCACGAGUUUUGGUGUUUGUCUAUUUCUACAGGGGGUUAUCAGGAAAUAAGGAAGAAAGGCCCACACGUCGGGUUUACAUAGAGAUAUUAACGUGCCACGCAAUUUUCUACCAUCUAGAAGACUCCAGAAGCCACGGGAACGAACGGGAGACGUAACGGAGCCGGGCACUGGGCGCCCGCCCUCCCUUACUGGGCGCCCGCCCUCCCCCCUGGACCAAUCAGGGUGAAGUUCGGGGAUCAUGCUCCACCGACCUAAUACUUCAAGAAAAACCACACGAUCAAUGUCGGUUUGAUCCGACGGCCCAGAUUCACUUGAAGGGACUAUAAAACCAGACCCCCCUGGCCCCUGGAGAUCAUACCUCUUCUACAGAAUCAAAGUUAGGGUUUCAAUUCUUCAUCCAAGUAGAGAGGAUCCCUCUAGUUCUUCUAGUUCUACCUCUAGUUCAUCUAGAUCUAGUUCUAGUUCAUCUAGUUCUAGUUCUAGUUCCUCUAGUUCUAGUUCUAGUUAGUUCUAGUUGUAAUCUAGAAAAUAGGGAGAGAGAAGAGGAGAGCGGAGGAGGAGCCGGAUCUGUCGGAUCUUCCUCAACAUUAUACUUUUGCAGCAUCUGGUUCGUUCUUCAUCGUUCUCCAGGUUCUUCAAUUCAUAAUUCCUGAGUUCGCUAAUUACUUUUAUUUACAUUCAAGUUAUUUAUUGGAUUCCCGCUUGCAUCAAGUGCUCUAGUCUUUAUAACGCUAGAGUAGUAAUUAAUAGAUUAGACGUGGUGUUUAGUCUUGCAAUUACCUGGAAUUGCACCCAAUCCUGCGGAUUGUUGUGGUAGCCUUAGGGUAGUGACAGCCCUAACGGUCGACGUAUUCCACCACGUUCGGAUCGGUGUUUGUAGGACCGUAGUCAGACCUUCCUAGCCCCCUUCUCAUCUCUUUCUGUGGUUAGUGCUCUGAUGUCCCGAAAUAGAUAAUCUUGAAGUAAUUCUUGAUUCUUAGAUCAACUAGAGAACUCUCAGGAAACUUCCUCUCUUCCCACCACCAAAAAUAAUUAUAUAGUUAUCCUUGGGCGAUCUUGGAUCUUAAUUAGUACACUCAUGUUCCCUGUGGAAAAUCGAUACUCUAGAAUACUCCUGGGUGAAGGCUACAUCGGUAUCCGUGCGCUUGCGGAUUUUUCUGUUUGCGUUUAAAAUACCCAACAAUGAGGAGCAAUGAGAACCAAGUUUUAUUAUUACUUAUACAUUUUUAUCAUCACUAUCAUUUACUCCAUCACACAUGCACAUCUUGAUUUAAUUAUAUGCUGAGUUCCUUUGGAUCCAUGGCUCGAUUAGACAACAUAUGUAUGAGCUGUUUUUCACUCCAAUGAGCUCCACUUAAAUAUUCCAUUAGCUAUAGGUAAGUGACAUUAUGGUAAGGAUCCACAAAUACCACAUAUAGAGAGACUUGAGAGAAUCAUUGCUGGGAACUCUGAGUUUUAUUUUGAAAACUUAUGAAAAACUCUGGAACCAAGGUGAAGUAUAGACAGGAGGGAUAGUGCUUGACUUAACUAUUUUGUCUUUCAAUUACUUAAGAUUUAAGUGCAGGUACUAAACUUUAUAAAACUUCACUCUAAUCUGGAAGAAUUUUAUGUAAAAGCAUGUGUGCCUGUCAGGAAAGAAAACAUCAAAGCAACUCCUGAUCCGUCUGAGUUUAGCUAUUUGCUCAGGGACGAGCAAAGGGUAAGCUUGGGGGAGUUUGUUGACGGUCCUUAAGUACUAAAAUUAAUAAUCAAAUAAAUGUGAAAAAGGAUCAAUAUGAAACAAACAUCUAGAAUUAGGGUUUUAUCUGACAGAAUUCCACGAGCUUUGGUGUUUAUCUAUUUCUGCAGGGGGUUAUCAGAGAAUAUGGAGAGAAGGCCCACAUGUCAUGUUUACAACGAGAUAAUUACGUGCCGUGCAAUUUUCCUCAAUGUAGAAGAAUCCAGAAGCCACGGGAACGAACGAGAAGGGAAUCGGGCUCGGGGGCAGGGCGGCCGCCCACCCGCCUUGGGCACCCGCCCAGGCCAGGAGUCCAAUCAGGACUCUGCUUCGGGACUACGCUCCACCGACCUAAAGGACACUGCCACACGUUCGGGCAUUAGCACCGGUCGGGAAGGGCCUGUUGCCCCGGUUCCCGAGCCGGUGCUGCCCUUCCGGGACUAAAGGCCCACCCUUUAGUCCCGGUUCCGUUAACCGGGGCUGAAGCCCCCCCCUUUAACACCGGUUGGUAACACCAACCGGUGUUAAAGGGUCCUGCCAGGGCUGCCACGUUGCAGGACCCUUUAACACCGGUUGGUAUUACCAACCGGUGUUAAAGGGUUUCUUUUUCUUUUUUUUUUUGGUUCACUUCUUCGGUUCUGUUUAUUGUUUAUAUAUAAUAUAUAAUAAUAGGUUUUUCAAUACAUGUUUUGCUGAUACAAUAAUAUAUUUAUAUUACACGCAUAUUAAGCAUAUAUAAAUGAAAAUUAUAGGCUAAGCUUAAUAGUUAAGCUUUGCCUAUAAUAAAAUGAAUAGACCACAUCAAAAAUUAAAUAUAUAUGUAAAAAGCUUUAUAUAUAUAUAGUUUUAUAUGUACAAAAUUCGUAACACAUAUAUACAUAGAGUUUGUUCUCCCAAUGUCUACAAACGAUACAAAUGAUCAUCGUUGUUUGGUAUAAGAGUUUCGUUGCCGUUGAAGUGAAACUCGCCGUUUGGAUUGAUCACUUGGUCGCGGAGAAAUCCUGCUAUCGUCUCUUGGAUAGCUUUGAUUCGGUCUUGUUGUAGGACCUUUUCCCUCAGCCAUUCCGUCUUUAAUUUGAAAUAAAUAAAAAAGGUAUUAGUUAUCUAAGUUAUUCAAUAUAAUUCAGGAGAUAAUGAAAAGAGACAUGUAACGUACUCUGAGCGUCUCUGUGGGUGUUUGAUUGACUUGUGCCAUCAUGAAUUUGCACACGUAAUAUGCACAUAGAUUGUUCCCCCCUUCUUGUCUUAAACACCACUGUACGAUGUAUAUAUAUAUAAAAAUAUUCAUGACCACGACAAUAAGAAGGCUAAAAGUUAGCGAAAGUUUGUUAGCUAGUAGAACUUACUUGUGGAUGUAUUAUGUUAAGCGGCGCUUUACAUCCACUGAGAUGUUCACGGUCAAUGAAUCUUUCCCAAACCCUAUACACAGCCAUUGUGGAUCGUGAACUAAUAAUUACAGAGUCAUAUUAUGAUAUUUUUGUAGCUGAGAUCGACAUUACGUACCUUUGAAUAACGUUUACCAUUUGUUGAUAAUUUUCUUGUGGUUUUCUCAUUGAGUCAAAGAUUAUCAAUCGGUUCUUGGGAAUUUCAAUGACCAUGAGUAUCCAGUGAAAGCUGUUUACACACACAUAUAUAGGGUCAGUCCUAUAAUGUAAAAUAAAAUAUGCAUGCACUUAAUAACUAUAUAACUCACUCGAAGUUGAAGGGGAAGAGUAUUUUUUUGUUUUUCUUUUUGGUUUACAAAGAAUCUCAUAAGAUUGGUGCAGAUUUCUGUCUCAUGAUCUGCUGUCCACACUGCCUGCGGAGCCUUGAAAACAAUAUAAGGGUCAACGAACCCAAUACUAUUGUCAUUUCUCAUUCUGAGCUCUCUCAUUUGGUGCCUGCAUAUAUACAUACAAAUCCUAAGUGUGUAAGGAUUAUAUACAUGUAAUUAAAGAAGUUAGAAGUAUAAUAAAAAGGAAAAAUACUUACAGACAAAAGCAGCUGACAAGAGAUUUGUCAAGAGCGUCGAGGUGGCAUAAUUGGUGCAAUUCUUCGAACUGCACGUAUAUGAGGUCAUCUCCACGGAAGUAGUGGUGUUGUCUAAUACGAACAGAAAUCCAAUUCUCUCCCCUUUUAGACGCCUCAAUGCACCAUUUGUUUAUUGCAAACAUUUGUGUGCCGAGCUCGUGUAAACGCUUAGGGUCGAAUAGACUCCUGCCCGGUUCAUAUCUUGCCCUCCAUUGAUCAACUACCUCGGCUUUUUCAAAUGUAUGGCAUCCAAGAAUGGCGGUAAUUUCUUCUAUAUUUAAACCGCUCUGUCAAAAGUAACUCUCAAGCGAGUCUAGCUCAGACAACGCUAAGGAUUUCUUUGGCAUCAAGUCUUCAUUUGAGCCGUAUUGAUUUGGCACAAUCAAAGGGGGCACCGGUUUUGAUACUUCUCCGAGCUGUGGGACCCCCUUUCCUACUCUCUUCUUAGUAGGCUGUGAAGACUUGACCAGAGACCGCUCAUAGUCUGAAAGUGCUGGCUUUUUCUGAGCUUCGCGUUGCUUCUUUUGAUGGUCCGCCACCUUCUGCCUCAGUUCCGAUGGCUUCACAUAAAAGUACGGCUUUUCUGGGUUAAGCCGUUUUUUCCUUUCCUCCUUUAUUUUAUCAAAAAAUUGUUGGACCUCAGCUUUAGAUGUAGCAAUUACCUCCUCUUCACUCUUUUCGUAAGGUAAUUUUUCUGGCGUCUUAGCUCUCUUUGCUGAGGCAGCCUUCUUUGGAGGUGGGACCGAUGACUUCGGUCCUUCUUGGACGGACCGCUUCUUACUACCUCGCUUUGGAGGCGAGGGGACCGACCGUGCACUCUUUGGAGAGGGCGGUGCAGGCGGUGGAGGGGGUGGGGCCGAUCUUUUUGGCGUUGGAGAACGCGGUGGAGGAGUUGGAGACCUCGGUGGAGGAGGUGGAGACCGUGGUGGAGGCGGUGGCGGGGUCGGUGUGGCCGCCGCAGGUGUUGGAGGAGAUCCAGCAUUGUCACCGCCCGCAGCACUAUGAUGCGCUGGGGAGAGAACUGGACUUAGGUUGGAGGAGUCCCUGCAAAGAAAACAAUUACAAGUUUUGUGAGUAAACUUUUUUUAAAUUUCAAUACAUAAUAAAUAAUAUAAGAAGUAAAAUCACACACAAACCUAUGCUGAGGAAUAAUUAUGAAGCGCUUGCGCCAACAAAUAAAUGUCUUCUCAGCUUCACCUAAGGUCUUCUCUCCGUCUCCCCCUUCUAUGUCUAGUGGCACAUUGCCACAACCUUUCUCAACCCUAUCAACCGAGACGCUAGCAUAUCCACCAGGUACUGGUCGAUUAUGGAUUUUUGGAGUGCCCGUUCGGUCGAUAGGGUUGACAACAGCGAUAGCCACCUUUUUGGUGGCAUUCCCAUCUGGUACAUGCAGCUCACAGGUAGUAAAAGCCUCUGUGACAUCAUCCACGGGGAAGUGUAGCUUCGUGUCAUCCUGAAUGGUUGGUACUUCCGUGGAUGCGCAGCUGCUUUUCAACUGGCCUGGGGGGCUAACAUUGACCUCAGGCUGUGAUGUACCUUGCCCUUUCGUCAAUUGACUCAGUGCUGCUUGCACUUGCCUUUGAAUCUCUGCCUGCAUCCAUUCUUCACGAGCUUUCUCGCGCUCUUGUGACUGCAGAACAAAAGCUUCCAGGCGGCGGAUCCGCUCUGCCUCCUCAUCCUUCUUUCUCUGGCGGCUUCUGUAGGUAUCUUGAUCGGCUUGGAAUGAUUGCAGCCACGGAACUGCCCCAUAGCCUCUCGUACGCCCACCGUGCUCAAGAUUUUCAAGCGCAUAGGUGAGUUCAUCCUUCUCCCUGUUAGGCCUGAACUCACCAGACUGAACCGCCUCUCGUGCAUGGACUAGUCUCUCUGCUGCUCUAGAGAUUUUUUGGCCCCAAACUAGCGCCCCGGUGUCUGGGUCCACGCUUCCCCCAUGACCGUAGAACCAAUUCUUGGAGCGCUCGCUCCAAUUCUUUGCUAUUGUCUCGGGUGUGACCCCCCUAGCAAGCAGCUCCUGUUCCAUUCGGUCCCACUUGGGAACAGCACUCUUAUAACCACCUGAUCCCAUAUGAUGGUGGUAUGCCUUUUUACUGGCAUUCUCUUUGUUUCUAUUGGCUCGUUCCUCGCCCUCUUCUGAUGUUUUGUACUGCACAAAGUCAUCCCAGAAGGCCCUCAGCUUUACAUAUUGCUUGAGGUUGAAAUCUGGAGUCUCGUUUUUCUUGACAUAUUUAUUGUACAAAGACUUCUUCCAAUUCUGGAAGAGUACUGCCAUAUUCUUCAUAGUCCAGUCAUAAAUUCGCACCUUCAACUCUUCAUCGUUGGUGUCGAAGGUGAAAACGUCUGUGACGGCUUUCCAAACUAACUCCUUGUCACGAUCAGAGACAAAACUGAUCUCAGGAGCACCUCGCUUCUCUCUCCAUUCACGACAACUGAUCGGUAUUUGAUCUCUCACAAGAUAUCCACAGUGAUUAACAUAUUUAUUUGCAUGCUCACCAAGUGGUCUGCGUGUAGCUAUCUCAAACUCAGAGAUUACAUAGCGGCCCUCCAACGGCUUCUUUGGCCCUCGUGGAGGUACGCUUCUCCCCGUAGAGGUCGAUCCAGAAGGCUACACGUACAUAUAGAAACAAAAAUACUAAAUUAAUAACCAAGUAAUAAGUCUAAAACCUAAUGUAAGAGAUGCAUUAUUUAUAUAUGUUUACAUUUACAUACCUCGCCAGUAUUUUCUUCUUGUUGCACGACAAGUUGUUGCUCAGGGGCAUUGCCCUCUUGUUGCUCAGGGGCAUUGCCCUCUUGUUGCUCAGUAGGAUUGCCUUGCAUGAUGUCGUGGUAAUCAACGAAGUACUGACUACCAUCGUCGAUUAUAUUUUGAAUGGCAGCUUCCAUAUAAUCAGGAUCAUCAUGAGGACGGUCAGCCAUUUCUAUGUCUGCAACCAUACAUAUAUAUAUUCUAUAUAAGAUAAGAAAUACACUAAUACUACUACAAAUGAAAGUGUUGGAGUGCUCUAAAAAUAAUACUAGGAUCUUUUAAGCCAAGUAAUACAUUAGAAUAAAAAACAAUACUAGAAUAAUACAUACAUACAGAAAAUAUUACAUAUAUAUGUGUGUGUAUAUGUACAAAAAAUAAUAUACAUACAUACAAAAAAUAAUACAUAUAUAAAAAAUAGAACAUACAUACAUACUAUAUACUAAAAAUACUACAAGAAUAUAUAUUACAAGAAUACUAAAAAAUAAUGAAAGUGUUGGAGUGCUCUAAAAAAUAAUACUAGAAUCUUAAGCCUAGUAAUACACUAGAAUAAUAUACUAAAAGAAUAAUACUAGAAUAAUAGUACAAACAAUAAUAUAUACAAAACACUACAAAAUAAAAUAUAAUACAAGAAUAAUAUAAGAAUAAUAGUACAAACAAUAAUAUAUACAACACACUAGAAAUAAAAUAUGAUACAAGAAUAAUAUACUUCAAAUAUAUACUAAAAAUACUACAAGAAUAUAUAUUACAAGAAUACUACAAAAAUAAUAAAAGUGUUGGAGUGCUCUAAAAAAUAAUACUAGAAUCUUAAGCCUAGUAAUACACUAGAAUAAUACAAGAAUAAAACAAAAAUAAAAUAAUAAUACAAGAAUAAUACAAGAAUAAUAUACUACAAAUAUAUACUAAAAAAUAAUACUACAAAUAAUAUACUAAAAAAAUAAUACUACAAAAUAAUACAAGAAUAAUAUUAAUAUAUUACAAAUAUAUACUAGCAUAAUAUAAUUUAUAACAGGUCAACACUACACUUAUACUAAUGUACUAAAAACUAUUACUAGAAUAAAAUACUAACAUCAUGCAUUAUUUUUUAGUGUGUAUAUAUAUAUACUUAAUAUAUAUACUAGCUAGCAUUCAUUAAUUAUUAUUUUUGUGUACAAAUAUAUAGAAAUCACUAAAAUUGCAAAGUGAUUGACAUAUAAUUCAUAACAUUUAUUUAUUUUAUAUAUAUAAACUGCAGUGGAGUAUUUAUUAUAUAUAUAUAUAUAUAUAUAUGUAUAUAUAUGGUUUUGGAUUAUACAUUGCAGUGGACGCGCGCGGGGCCGGGCAUGGAGAUCGAGACGUAGAUGGCGGCGCUGGUGGAGAUGGUGGUCGCAGCGGCGGCGCUGGUGGCCGGAGCUGACCGCGGCGGCGCUGGAGACGGCGGCGCUGGAGAUCGGCGAGGUCGCGCGCGGGCAGAUGAACGGGUGGCGGCGCUGGAUACGAUGAACUCGACGAAGAUGAAGACGAACUGCUCAGAUCCAGAACGCCCAUGACUUAAAUAGAGGCGGACCCUUUAGCACCGGUUCCAGCCACGGACCGGUGCUAAAGGGUCCUAGGCGGGCUCGGGCGGGGUCCUGAAAUUUUCAGGACCCUUUAGCACCGGUUCCCACUAUGGGCCGGUGCUAAAGGCCCAUUUUUUUAGUUUAGGGUUUUUCAAUUGUUUUAUAUAUACAGUUUAUAUUAUAAAUUGUAUAGUAAAUUAAAUAUUUUGCAUAAUGUUUUUUAAAUAGUGACAUAUAUUGUAAUUUGUUUUAAUGUACACAUGAAAAUUUUUAAACUUAAAUAUCUUAUUGUAUUUUUAUAAUUUACAAUGAUUUUGUAAGAAAUGUUUAGUAUUUUGUUAAUGCAAAAAUAUAUUAUUCCAAUAAAUUUACAAAAACUAUAUCCAAUGAACUGGAAAUUUAUUUUCACAUCAUAUUGACGUAAAAAUUUUUAUUUUUGUUAUUUAUUACUAGGAAUGCUAGUUGGGUAUAAUUUUCAUCAAAUAAAAAAUCCACUGAAUUUUGAAUUUUCAUAGAACUCAUAGCCACGCAGCGGUUUCGGAACCCUACAUGGUCUCGAAUGGAAAAGUCAUGAAUACCAAUAUUGUUCGACUCAUCAAAAUCUACAUUUCAUAUAUAGACCAUUUUUGCAUUUGACAAAGUUUUGGGAAGGUGUAGUUGAAAAUCCACAAUUGACACAUAUAGUUUCAUAUAGUUUGUGUGAGAUUCAAGAAUUGGUGGGUAUUGUUAACUUAGAUUUUCUCAAAUGGAAAAGUUGUGUAUAUAAAAAGUUUAGAUCUUGAAGAUAUCUAACAACUUGGUAUUCAAAAUAUUUUCAUUUGAAGUAAUUUAGUUUGUCAUUUGACCAAGUUUGACCAAGUUUGACCGAAACCCCUCUUGGAUUUUAUAGAAAUGUAACUAGGAUUGGCUCAAAAUUAUUCAAAUGGAAAAAUGGACAAUAUAUAAAAUAUAGAUUUUGAUGAUCUCUAACAACUUUGUAUUCAAACUUUUUCAUUUCAAGUCAUCAAAUGGGCUAUUUGACCAAGUUUGACCAAAAUCAAAGCAUUGGUUUUUACAAACACACCCUUUGACCGAACCCUAGAUUGUCCCAAAUGGAAAAGUCAUGAAUACAAAGUUUGCUACACUCAUCAAGUUCUACAUUUUGUCUAAUGGUCAACUUUUCAUUUGGAAAAGUUUGAACCACUGAAUUUUGAAUUUUCAUAGAACUCAUAGCCACGCAGCGGUUUCAGAACCCUACAUGGUCUCGAAUGGAAAAGUGAUGAAUACCAAUAUUGUUCCACUCAUCAAAAUCUACAUUUCAUAUAUAGACCAUUUUUGCAUUUGACAAAGUUUUGGGAAGGUGUAGUUGAAAAUCCACAAUUGACACAUAUAGUCAUGACAAAUUUUGCAUUUGAUGAUCUCUAACAAUUGGAAAAGUCAUGAAUACAAAGUCAUGAAUACAAAGUUUGUUACACACAUCAAAAUUCACAAUUCUCAAAUAUAGUUUCAUACAAAGUCAAGCCGACACAACAGUGAACUUCUUCUUGACGUAUGACCCUUGGUUAUGAUCCUGCCGUAACCAUGGAGUAUCCUCAUUGUUUAACAGAAUGCUUGGGUCUUUGUUGACUAUGAAGGGCGGAAUUCGAUCAUCCCUUUUGUAAUCGCCUGACAUGUCUGACUUGUCCUCAAUUCCGACAAUGUUUCUUUUCCUAGAAAGGACAAUGUGGCGCUUUGGCUCAUUGAUGAUUGAGUGGUCAUCAUUUUUUCCUCUCUUUGGUUUCGUAGACAUAUCUUUGACAUAGAACACCUGACUCACGUCUGCAGCAAGGACGAAUGGUUCGUCUUUGAACCCACUAUUGUUAAGGUCCACGGUUGUCAUCCCAUACUCCUUGUCGACUGUUACCCCACCUCCGGUCAUCUUCACCCAUUGGCACCGGAACAAAGGAACUUUAAAAUUAGCUGCAUAGACUAGUUCCCAUAUGUCUUCUAUGCGUCCAUAAUAUGUUUGUCUGUUCCCAUUUGGAUCCGUGGCAUCCACGCGUACACCACUAUUUUGGUUGGUGCUCCUUUUAUCUUGGCCAACUGUGUAAAAUGUGUUACCAUUUAUCUCGUACCCUUUGUAUAUGAGGACAUGCCAUGAUGGUUGCCUGGCCAACAAAUAAAGCUGCUCAUCAAUGUUUUCAUCACCUUGACAUUUUUUGCGCAACCAAUCGCCAAAAGUUUCCAUGUGCUGACGCAUUAUCCAAGCUUCAUUCUUCCCGGGCCACUGGGACCGUAGGUAAUCUUUGUGUACCUCAACAUAUGGUUCCACCAAUGAGGAGUUCUGGAGAACUGUGUAGUGUGCUUUAUUGAAGUAAUCGUUUCCCGUACCAAUAUAUGUUUUCUUCCCAAGUGUUCCCUUUCCGCUGAGUCUGCCCUCGUGUCGAGAUUCAGGAAUGCCAAUUGGGUCAAGGUCUGGAAUAAAGUCAACACAGAACUCUAUGACCUCCUCUGUUCCGUAGCCCUUGGCAAUGCUUCCUUCUGGCCGGGAACGACUAUGGACAUAUUUCUUUAGGACACCCAUGAAUCUCUCGAAGGGGAACAUGUUGUGUAGGAACACAGGACCGAGAAUACGAAUCUCUUUGACCAGAUGAACUAGGAGGUGUGUCAUGAUAUCGAAGAAGGAUGGAGGGAACACCAACUCAAAGCUGACGAGACAUUGAACGACAUCAUUCUGCAGAGUAGCUAGUUGCUCUGGAUUGAUUGCCUUCUGAGAAAUUGCAUUGAGGAAUGCACAUAGCUUUACGGUGGCUAGACGUACGUGUGGAGGUAGAAUUCCUCUUAAAACGACCGGCAGCAAUUGCGUCAUUAGAACGUGACAGUCAUGGGACUUCAAGUUCAGGAAUUUCUUCUCUGGCACAUUAAUUAUUCCCUUGAUAUUGGAGGAGAAUCCAGAUGGGACCUUGAUGCUGCUAAGACAUUCAAACAUGCUUUCCUUCUCUUCUUUGCUCAGAGUGUAGCUAGCAGGGCUUAAGUAAUGACGUCCAUCAUCUGUCUUUUCUGGAUGCAAGUUGUCUCGUUCUUUCAUGCGCUGCAAGUCUUGUCGUGCUUCAAGUGAAUCCUUAGACUUCCUGUAGACACCCAUGAAUCCGAGCAAGUUCACACAAAGAUUCUUUGUCAGGUGCAUCAUGUCGAUCGCGUUGCGGACCUCUAGGACAUUCCAGUAAGGUAGCUCCCAAAAUAUGGAUUUCUUCUUCCACAUGGGUACGUGUCCCUUAGCAUCCUUGGGAAUAGGUUCGCUGCCUCGUCCCUUUCCAAAUACCACUUUUAUAUCCUUGACCAUUUCGAGUACAUCAUCCCCGGUUCGAUUGAGAGGUUUGGUCCGGUGGUCUGCCUUGCCUUUAAAAUGCUUGCCUUUCUUUCGUACUGGGUGGUUCACAGGAAGAAACCGACGGUGGCCAAGGUACACGACCUUUCGACAUUUUUUCAAAAAUACACAGUCAAGGUCUUCAUAACAAUGUGUGCAUGCAUUAUAUCCCUUGUUUGACUGGCCUGAAAGAUUACUCAGAGCUGGCCAAUCAUUGAUUGUUACAAACAGCAAUGCUCGCAGGUCAAAGUGCUCUUGUUUGUACUCAUCCCACACGCGAACUCCUGGUUUGCUCCAUAAAAGUUGAAGUUCCUCAACUAAUGGCCUAAGGUAGACAUCUAUGUCAUUGCCAGGUUGCUUCGGUCCUUGGAUAAGCACCGGCAACAUAAUAAACUUCCGCUUCAUGCAUAGCCAUGGAGGAAGGUUGUAGAUACAUAGAGUAACUGGCCAAGUGCUGUGACUACUGCUCUGCUCACCGAAAGGAUUCAUACCAUCUGUACUUAAGGCGAACCGCAAGUUUCUAGCAUCAUUUGCAAAAUCUGAGAAUUCUCUGUCUAUCGCUCUCCACUGGGAUCCAUCGGCAGGGUGUCUCAGCAUAUUGUCUAUCUUACGGUCUUCUUUAUGCCACCGCAACAACUUUGCAUUGUCCUUAUUUCUGAACAGACGUUUUAAUCGUGGUAUUAUAGGAGCAUACCACAUAACCUUGGCUGGAAUUUUCUUCCUAUGACGUUCUUCACCCUCAACAUCGCCAGGAUCAUCUCGUCUAAUCUUAUACCGUGAUGCCUUACAUACUGGACAUGCAUCCAAAUUCUCGUAUUCCUCCCCACGGUAGAGGAUGCAGUCAUUAGGACAUGCGUGUAUCUUCUGGAUUUCUAAUCCCAAAGGGCAGACAACCUGUUUUGCUUCAUACGUAGUGGUGGGCAAUUCGUUGCCUUUCGGAAGCAUCUUUUUUAUGAUCUUCAAUAACUGCCCAAAUGCCUUGUCAGAUGUACCAUUCUUUGCCUUCCAUUGCAGCAAUUCUAGUGUGGUAUCCAGCUUUUUUUGCCCCUCUUCAGCGGUGGGAUAUAGCGAUUUCCUGUGGUCCUCUAGCAUGCGCUCGAACUUGGCUUUCUCUUUAUCACUAUCACAUUCUCUUUGUGCAUCACGGAUGGCAUCACCAAAAGCAUCAUCGCCCCGAUCAUCUUCUGCCGCCACCUCUUCUUCAUUAUCUCCCCCCAUUGCAACAUCAUUGAAGCCACCGUACUGAGCAAUAAUAUUGGCAUGCUCCAAUUCUUCUUCUUCUUCUUCUUCACCUUCAUCCAUUAUAAUCCCGCUUUCUCCAUGUUUGGUCCAACAAAUAUAGUUUGGUACGAAACCAGACUUUAAUAAGUGUGAAUGAAGAGUUCUUGAGUUAGAAUAUUCCGUCAAAUUCUUGCACACGGCACAUGGACAGCAUAUGAAACCGUCCCUCUUAUUUGACUCGGCCACACUUAAGAAAUAGUGCACGCCAUUAAUGAACUCUUCGGAGCGCCGAUCGGCAUUAUACAUCCAAUUACGUGUUACCAUCUGCAUUAAAGAUAACAUAUAUAUUAUGAAAACCAUGCACACAUAUAGUUUCUCAUCUUAUUGCACAACAUGUCUAAGAUACAUAGUUGAUUAAUUUAGAAAAGCUUGGCUACAACAAAUACAAUCGCAACUAGCAUUAAAAAAACAAAACUAAAAUGCACUUAAGCAACAUAAUUAGUUCGCGUCCGAUCCCAACUAUAAUAGAUAGAUCAUUCGCUUGAUCAACAUCAUUGAACUUCUUUCGUCGGCUCACUGCCUCACCACCUUCAGCCUCAACCACCUGUGCAAAAGAUUUCUUAAUGUGUUCAAUGUAUUCUUCCUCCCAGUACCAACCUGUACAUCCGCCGGUACCGUCCCACUGAAAUUAAAAGAGAGAAUCAAAAGUUUAAUUAAUAUCAUUUAAAAAAAUAUGCACAUAUAUAAGCAAAUGUCUGGAAAUAACUCACAUUACGAUCUGGACACUUGUAGAAUAUACGACCCUUGUUUACUCCCUCUUUCGACACUUUGUACUCCAUCAAAAUCUUCUGCCCACACUUGCCACAAGUAAUGAGAGGGAGUUCCGGACGGUAUCGCUUUUGAACCCGUUGAGAGACUGAAGACCCGGUCACGGUUGCCAUCUACUAUCCAUACUCAAUUUUAAAACAAUUAUAAAUUCCACAUUUACUAGUAAACAUGUAUGAUACAAUGGACAUUAUAUGUAGUAAUAAAAAUAAAUCAAGUGAUAUUAACAAACCAAUUAAUUUGAACUAUCCUACUUUCUAUGAUCAUAAAAAUAUACUAUAAUUCAUUCUUGCAAAAUACAUUAAAACUAGGUCAACCAUGAAAUAUGAUAUAUAUAUAUAUGGAUACUAAUUGUCACACCCGGUUUUAAGGAACAAAACCAGGCUAGCUAUAUGUGUGCCCAGGAAGUCCACACAUACAACAACAGAAAGGAACAGUAUCAGAAACAAUGUUAUAUAGCGAAAACAUACUUAUAAUUAACACUUACAUCAGAGUAUCGCGGAGUUAAUGGUAACUAAACUUCAGGCUCAAUCUUCACAGGGACGGCUGACUGGGGGUAACAUAUGCCAAGCACUCCUAUCCAUCCUCUAUGAACUCCUUCAUGACUCCAUCAUCCUUCUGAUUAACUCUUACUAGUAGACUGUAGUGGUGGGAAAUAGCAAGAGUGAGCACAUAUCGUACUCAACAAGUAUAACCAGGGGUUCAUGAGGCUCAAAUAGCUGACACUGGUUUGACUGCAUUUAGCUUUUAAUAGUAGAUAGCAUGUUUUAUCAUUGGAUAGCAAAUGCCAAGGUAGCAUAAUAAAUCCCAUAACCACAUGAUCAUUUGUAUACAGGAAUUAUGAAUAACACAUAUAAACAACAUAAUAAACCAUCAUUUAUUAAUAUUAUUCACGUUCAUCAGUGUCCAUCUAUUCCUUCAGUUUUCCGGGCCGCCCGUAACCGUGGGCACGGCUAGUAUACCAGAUUUAACACUCUGCAGAGGUUGUACAUCUUUACCCAUGAGUCGUGAUUUACCCUUUCGCCCGAGGUGAUCAGCCUCUUAACCCACUACCAAGGAAGGUCGGCAGGGUUCACUAUGAAGUCUUUCAAAGGUUCGUCUAACAUGUUAGGGCCGCAAGGUUUCCUUUGCGCGCAGAUAUAGAUACCCCCUUCCGAAUGGCACAAUGACGCGCAGCCUAUACACAUAGGGACAGGGGCUCGCACUAUACCCAAAACGGUUCAGCCCCUCCGCCCUUUCGGGUAACCUCUAACAAGCUAGAAAAGCUUACUCAUACUUGACUAAAGCCAGAGCCAUAUAGCCCUCAUGGUUGUACGAGUUGUCCCAGCUUUUGCCAAGGGAUAAGUCCUUAUGGAGGGUCAAGAUCAAUCCAGCAAAAGCCAGAGUUCUUUCCACCCUUUAUAUUCAAGUUGCUAGAAAGCUUAUUUUAUUGUUUAUUGUAUAUUCAAAUAUUCAUGUUACAAGAUCAUGGAUUAAUAAUCAAGCACUAGCAAGAACUACCAAAUGCAUAUCCAAAAUAGGUAACAAGGAAUCCAGGAUAACAAUCAUCUAUGAUUUUGCUAAGGUCAUCAAGGUGAUAGUAUGCAUAUGACAUAUAUUGUAUUAAUUGUGUAUAGGUAACAAGGAUAAUCCCAAGUUAUACUUGCCUUGACCAAAGCUCUCCUGAGCCUGCUGGUCUUCAAAUGCUUGGUCUUGAUCACCAACGUACGGCUCACCGUCUAUUCCCAAACAUCAAUCAACAACACGCAAUCCAAUGGAGACAAUCAUACACAAAGCAAACAAGGUAUAACUAGAACAUUACACCAACAGUGAGAAAUCAAAGAUAAAAGUUUAUGAAAAUAUUCUACGCAGCGCUACGAUCACACAAACGUAAAGUUCACGAAAAUCGGAAUUAAAACGUGAAAGAUAUGAAUUUUCUAAGAUUUCCUAUAGAGAAGUAAUUAAUUAAAUGCUACUGCAGAAUUAAAAAGUUUCAAAACAGUAAACUAAUAUUUCUAACAUGUAGAGCAUGUAACUACGGAUCUAACGAAAUUUGAAUGGACAAAAACUGAGUUAAAAUGAAUAUUUUAUGAGCAAAACAAAAUCAGUGGCAAUCUUGUAAAUAGCAGAAAGCGCAUUUUUCCAUUAACCGGCUAGGAAUACGCCUUUGGCAUUAGAAAACGUAUUUUACUCAGGGCGCUAGGGACUGCGGGUUGAAUAGCGAAAUCUCUAGGGACUCUUAACGAAAAUACGCAGCGAAGGGGUAUGUUUUAAUCCUGGCCGUCCAAGAUUGAUCCGACGGUUUGGACGCGUCCAGGGGCCAGUGGCCAGCGGCCGGCCGGCUCCUGCUCCGGUGCGGUGGCUUCCAUUGCCGGCCGAAAGAAGCUCGCCGGCGACGACGGGCUUCUCGAUUCCGAGCACUGUUUCGCGAAAGGAAAACACCAUCGGAACGAGGAGCUCACCGCGAACUCGAGGAGGUGCUUUGCUGGGGCCGAAGAACGACGGGAGGAGCUCGCGGCGCGCGGCGGCUUGCUCGGCUUUUGGUCUAGGGCAGCAGGAGGUUCUAGGGCACGGUUUUUGCGGCGAAGAUAAAAAAACAACACGCGGGGUUGUUGCUAGCAGCUUUAUAGGACCAGAUACGCGCGGAAAGGAGCAUCCCCGAGGAAACCGGGAUCGGAUCUCCUUCCGAUCGAGUCCGGAUUGAUUUCGUUCCGGGGAAGAAGAAAAGAGGAGGCUGACGGGUGGGGUCCGGCGAUCAGGGAGAGAAAAGGGUUGGGCCCAGUCGUCAUACAUAGAGAAAGAAGGGGAAAAGGGAGAGAGCGCGGGGCUGGGCCAAGCUGUUGCGGGUUUGGGGCCUGCGGCCGAAAGCAGUGGGGGAAUUUUCCCUUUUCUUUUGUUCUAUUUUUUUAAGCCUAUUUCAAAACAAAAUUUGAAAACCAUCUUAAAAUCAGUUUGAUUCAUUUUGUAUUUUGGGAUCAAAUCACUCAGUACAACAAAAUAAAUUCUCCAGCAUGAAUGCACAUUCAAGUUACUAAGUUCUAUGAUAAGUUUUAUUUUAAAGAAAAUAUUAUUUUCCUAUGUUUCAUGAGCACAAAAAUACAAAAAAAAUUAAAUCAUUUUUCACCUAUUUCAAAAGUUGGAAAUUUUUGGGUGUUACACUAAUUCAUGUGAAUGAUUCAAAAUAACAAAGUGGAUUUGAGCUAAAAAAUGAUGGGAACAUCACAAGCCAAAAACAACAUGAAAAAGACGAGAAAGGCUGAAGUUAGUCACCUCUAAGCGCGAAGAGACGAUGACGGAGUCGAAGAAGAUCAACGAUGGGCGUUGGAGAUGAAGAACAAAUGAAGAACAAGCAAGAAGAAGCUCCAAGAACAACAAUGGUGCUCUCGGUUUCAAAUGGGCAGAGGGGAGGAGGAAGCCGGCCUAUAAACUGGACCUUUAGCACCGGUUCAGGGAAAAAACCGGUUCUAAAGGGUUACCUUUUAGCACCGGUUUGUAACACAAACCGGUGCUAAAGGGUUUGCCUCGGCCCGUGGCUCUGGCCGGUGCUAAAGGGACCCCUUUAGCACCGGUUCAGGGAAAAAACCGGUUCUAAAGGGUUACCUUUUAGCACCGGUUUGUAACACAAACCGGUGCUAAAGGGUUUGCCUCGGCCCGUGGCUCUGGCCGGUGCUAAAGGGGUCUUUAACCCCGGGCCGCAAAAAGGCCGAGGUUUUUGGCCAUUUUAGGCAUCGACCAAUGCCUCAUUCUGUAGUAGUGGGAUCAAUCUAAACCAUACAAUCUAUGUCGGAUUGAUCCAAUGGCUCACGUUCACUUGAGGGGACUAUAAAACCAAGGCCAAACCCCCCCUGGAGGGAGGAGAAGAGGAGAAAUCAUUAUUCAGAGGUAGCCAUCAAAGUUAGGGUUUAGAGCUUCUCUCCCACAGAGAAUUAGAAUUAGCUACUCCCUAAUCCUUCAAGUUUAGAGGUUUGAUUAGAUAGCAAUUAGAGAAGUAGAGCACUACGCUCUGGAUUCGGAUCUUCGGUAAUAAAGAUUGGUAUUAUUCAUAUCUUUCUCUAAUUCUUUGUUCUAAUUGCUUUAUGUCUCUAAUUAUUAUGUUCUUAGUUUGCUCUAGUUCUAUAUUUGAUAUAGUUCUAAUUGAUAAUGAGUUUAUGUAUAAGUUUGCAAAGCGCUUAGCUCUUGACGCGAGGGAGUUAGGUGAUAGAUCACAUGUGAGCGUGGUGCUUAGAUGUUAUUUAUCUGCAAAUGUAUCCUAUUGGCCGGGUUGUGUGGUAGUUCGCGAUAGUGACAGCUUCGUUGAUUCUUAUAUAGUCCACCCUCCGUUGAUAGGACAGGCAGAGCCGGUAUUGUGGAGUAAGUCAUGCGAUGCUCUGAUUUACUUUAUCAAUGUUCCUUAUACAUGAAUGAAGAGUCUUUUAUGCUAUAUAUGAUCUUGUAGAUAACUAGAGUAGAUUAUGACUUAGUAGUUAGUAGAUAACUUAGAAUCCAUUCUCUAGCUAAUCCGACAUCACCUACAUACGAGGAGUAGUCUAUUUUCUAAUCGCUGUGUCAUCUACCCAUGAACUUAUACUUUAUUAUCAUUAUCUUUAUGGUUUACCCCCUGCUAAAGUAAGUGACUGUGUGACGAGUUUCUCAUUAGUAAUCAUGUUCUUGCAAGUUUAUCUCUAGUCUAUGCCUUGAUAGAUUUUGCCCUUAAUUUAAUCUCCUUAGAUCCCUUGAGCAAAAUUAUAAAUAACGAUACCUGGAAUACUUAUCCCGGUGAAAUGCUACAAUGAGGUGUUUUAUCUGUGCGCUUGCGGAUAGAAUAGAUUAUUUUCUAGAGAGCCUUUACAUUUAUAAAUACCUUUGUACACUCUGGCACCAUGCUGGGGAUGACAACCUAGUAUCUAAGUGGUGUUAGCUAGUGUCAACAAGCAUAAAUAUCUAGCCUUUAUCAUGUUGAGACUCCUUAAUAAUUAUUACUCUCUAUUUUUAUAUUUUCAUUUUACAAAGCAGAAAAGAAAUUUUUAUUUUAUUUUUAUACCACCAUAGUGAAUGUACUUAUGGGUUUAUGCCACUCGUAUACUCACAUGGGGCUUACUGUUUUUCAUUUUUAUUUUCUUUUUAGGAUAGUAUGAACAUAAUUAACUAAGUAAACUAUUUGAAAUAAUUGAAAGGGAAAGGAUAACUACCAAGUUUACCUCUUGGCAAGGCGUUCGGUGUUUUUAAGUCCUCCGAAUGGGACUCUUCUCUUUCUCAAUUGUCCUAGGAUUCGUUGGGUGGCGGAGUCGGUACUUCCGGCGACGCCUCCUCUUUAUGUAUAGUUAUCUUCUCUUUCCAUACCUGACUCGGUGCUUCGGUCUCCUCUGGAUAAUUCUGUUUAAACUGAAUGUCUUCUAACCUUAUCACUUCUCCUUCAUAGUCUGCUCAUCCGUCCUUGAUGAUUUGCCUCCUCUGGUUGCGGUUGCGUCGUUUUCUUACCUGCUUAGAUUCUUCAAAGAUGUAGUUAGGGUCAGUAAAAUAACGGCGUACCUUCUCUGAGGGGAAGUGCAUAUGGACUUCUCCGGUUCCAAUGUAGAUGAUUGCUUUAACGAUGCUGAGGAACGGUCUUCCAACGAUGAUGGGUGGAUCGUAUUCGUCUUCUCCCGUGUCAAUAACCUGAAAGUCUGUGUAGACAAAAUGAUCAUCCAUUUUGACAGGGACAACAGUUACUAUUCCUUUAACUUCUCGAAAUGUCUGAUUUGCCAUCUGGAGCUGAAUGUAUGUUGGUUUUAGGGGCAUGGUUCCGAACAAGAGCCGAUAGGUGACUGCGGCCAUUAUGUUGACGCCCGAUCCUAUGUCGCAAGUCGUCUUGUAGAAGUUGUAUCCAUUUAUGGAUCAAUAGAUGCUUGGCAUUCCUGGGUCAUCCUUCUUGGUCAAAAAUGGUGACUUAAGUUGAUGAUCUUGACCUCCAUGAACUGCAGUGACCAUCUUAGCUGACUUGGUCCACACCUGCUUGUUCCUGUUCCUCCUAUUGGUCCUCUUCCUUGAUUCACGUCUGGAUUGAUCUGGGAUUUGUGUAGUCUUGUUCUUGAAGGAAAACGUCUCCUUCCUCCCUUUGAUGUAGAAACUGAUCUUGGCAGCACUAGCGUAGAUGACAGCUCCUGAGGUGUUCAAGAAUGGCCUCCCUAAGAUGAUGGGUGCCCUCUCAUCAUUUCCGGUCUCUAUCACCACGAAGUCUGCUAGGGCAUACAAGGUACCAACUCGGACACAAAGGUUCUUCAAUAUUCCUUUUGGAAAACUUAAUGCCUGAUCUACAAACUGCAAACACAUGGUUGUUUCUAAUAAAGGAUAUGUAAAGAAUUUUUCAUAGAGUACCCUGGGUAUAAUGUUGACGCUGGAGCCAAAGUCACAGAGUGCUUCUGGGACAUCCACCAUGCCGAUGGAGAUCGGGAUGACGGGGCGUCCUGGGUCGCCACUCUUGACCGGCAGAAGGUCAGUAGUAACUUUAGUGACGGGGUCACUCCAAUUACCUGCAUCAAACAUGUCUACAAGAUUUGCAGAUUCUAAUUCUUCCGGUUGUGAUGGUAUACUGGGGUUAGUAGCAGGAACAGUAGCAGCUAUUUGAUUUAACUGAGAUUCAAUCAUUUUAUUAAAGCUAAUUUGAUUCUUGAUGGCAGUAGAGAAAUUAUCCAUUAUAUUAUUUAUAUUUUCUAGCAUUUUAUCAUUAGAUGCCAAAUUCUUAGAUAGGUUAUCCAUUAGCUUUCCUUGAUUAGACACUAACUCUCUCAGAGGUGGAAAAUUAUUGUUAUUGUUGUAAGAAUUGUUACCUUGAUAAUUACCUGAGUAGUUAGGCCUCUGUUGAUUCCAAUCUUGAUUUUGCUGAGGACGGUUGUAGUAGUUGUUGUUGUUAUUGUUGAUGUAGUUUACAUCCUCAAGCAUCUUGGGGCAGUGAUUGCCUGAAUGUCCAGUGUCUCCACACUCCUCACAAGUCAUGUGAGAGUCGUAGAUAUGCAUAACUUCUUUCUUAUCUCCGGCUCUAUUGUCGAGCUUCUUCAUGAGCAGGUCUAGCUUUGCAGACAGCAUGUCUACCUCCUUGAGCUGAUGCAUACCUCCACAUCUCUUGCGUGUCUGGGUCCUCUCUUCAUUCCAGCUUUGGUUGGAUGCCAUCUUCUCCACAAGAGCUGUGGCUUGUGAUAUGGUAAGUGAUAGGAAUGCUCCUCCAGCUGUAGCAUCCAUGGUUUCUCAGACACUGUUGCCGAGCGCAUGAUAAAAUGUCUGCAUUAGUAGUCAGCUCUCCAUUCCAUGAUGGGGACAUUCUAGGAUGUAGUCUUGGAAGCGCUCCCAUGCUUCUGGAACAGAUUCAUCAUUUUGUUGCUGAAAACUUGUAAUUUUCCCACGGAGAGCAUUGGCCUUGCCCAUGGGAAAGAACUUAGCCAGGAAGUUUGUUGAGCAGAGUGCCCACGUAGUAUUCUUCUCCUUUGUAGCUAGAACCACUGCUUCGCUCUUCCUAACAGUGAGAAUGGGAAGAGACGAAGUAGUAUAGCAUCUCUGGAAACUCCUGAUAUGGUGAAUGUGCUACAUAUCUCCAGGAAGUGUUGGAGAUGAGCACUAGCAUCUUCGUGUGCCUUCCCACAGAACUGGUUUGAUUGCACCAUGUUGAUAAGUCCAGGCUUGAGCUCAAAGUUGCCAUCGAUCUCUGCAGUAGGUCCAGUGCGGAUGUUGUCCGUAGUGGGAGUUGAGAACUCGCGGAUUGAUUUGUUCGCCAUGGCUUCGAACUUUGAAGACAAGUUCCAGUGAUCUUCUUGAUUAGAUAAAGCUUCUUGCUGAAGUGUUGAUGAUCUCUUCUUGAGCUUGGCUCUUGUUUUUCUGAAUAAUGCUUCGGGAUUGUCAAGAAAAUUGCCUGGAAGAUGUCUUCUAUUCAUACAUUCCCCUGCAUAAGAUAAAAAUAGAAAAAUAUCAGGGUAAAACUGUAUGAGAGAAUUGAUAAGCUCAAUCAUAUUAGUGAUGCGAAUGAUAACUCAAAAUCCUUUAUUCAUUCUUGAUUAGUAAUCAACCUUCCCCGGCAACGGCGCCAAAAAUGCUUGUUGGGUAUUCUUAACAUCAUUACCAAAAGUAGACUUAGUUUUCUAAUUCUAGUAACGGUGCCAAAAAUGCCAAACCUAUCCCUCAUACCACUUAAGCCAAGUUGUCAUCCCCAGCAUGACAUGAGAGACGCGGUAUUGAAAUAUGCAAUUGCUCUUCUAAAUAAAUAAUGAAUGGGAUCUGCAAGCGCACAGAUUAAAACCGAUGUAGCAUUUUAAUCGGGAAGUAUUCCAGGUAUCGUUAUUUAUAUUUUUACCACUGGGAAGGGAUUAGCAACCAUCAAUAUUGAUUAUAGAAUAGAAUAUGAGAUUGAGUAUCUAUCAUUGCAUAUAUAAUUGAGAACAUUUAUAUAAUUCUUUCAUACAGGGGUAAGUGUCACAUAAAAGAUAUAUGAAGUAAUGAAUAGUGACAAAGAUAAUUAAUCUGAUCAGCAUAACUUAGCCACAUAUAAAUAUGAUAAGCACCUCAAUUAGAUAUUCUAGAAAGUCAUUAGCAUGGAAUUAGAACGAACUACAAGAAUAUUUCCUAAGUUAUUCUCAACUAUAUAGUCUAGCAUUAUCAUAGUUAAUGCAAGCAUACUUAGCAAUCAUUGCGAGACAAGACUCCGCCCAUGCAUAGUGACAUUAGCAAGGUAAAUGAGAAACAUAGCAAUCACUCCCUUGUAAUAAUAUUGCUCUGCCAGCCCAAUACACGAGAGGGGGACUAUAUAAGAAUCAAUGAAGCUGUCACUAUCACGAACUACCCCACGAUCUGGCAUAUUGGGUACAAUCGCAGAUAAAUAUGGUAUAAGCACCACGCCUACACAAUAUCUAUCAUUUACCCAUGGAUCCGAUGAAUAAACGCUAUACGAUCCUAAGCAUGUAUAUAGAUCCAAUCUAACUAAGCCAAGUAUAUAACUAUGAUAAACUAAGAACAAUAUAAUCUUGAAUAUAAGCAAGUAGAGCAAAGUCAUAAGCAAUAUAUUGAAGUAGAACAAAGUCAUAUUCAUAAUAUUGAAGAACAAAGAUGAUUAGAAGAACAAUUAGAAGAACAAUUAGAGAAAUUACCAAGAAUCCUCUUGACAGAUCCGAAAACCAAUCGAAGAUUGACUCCUUCUAGUUCUAAUCCUAUGUAGCUAUGCUAAUCUAGAUAUCUAAUUGAUGUGGUGGCUCUAAUCUUGAUCAGAGGCUUCAUCUCCCUUGAGGAAUAAUAAAUUAGGGUUGAGAGGCUCUCUCCUCCAGGGGCCAGGGGGUCUGGUUUUAUAGUCCCUUCAAGUGAAUAUGGGCCGUUGGAUCAAACCGACAUUGAUUGAACGGUUAUCCUUGAUCCUUUAGGUCGGUGGAGAUCUUUCCCGAAAGAGAGUCCUGAUUGGACUCCAACAGGGGGCGGGCGCCCAGGGCCAGGCCCCGUUCGGCCUCCGCUUCCUUCCCGUGGCUUCUAGAGUCUUCUAAAUGUAAGAUAAUUGCGUGGCACGUUGAUAUCUCUAUGUAAUCCUGACAUGUGGGCCUUUCUUCCGUAUUUCCUGAUAACCCCCUGCAGAAAUAGACAAACACCAAAACUCGUGGAAUUCUGUCAGAUAAAACCCUAAGUCGAUGUUGAUUCCAUUUGGAUCCUUUUCUUUGUUUAUUUGAUAAUUAAAUUUGAUACUUAAGGACCGUCAACAAGGUUUUGGGCCCUAAAGGGGAUUCUGUUUGUCUCUGCAUUUAUCAGAUCGGUGGGAUCUGGGUUUCCUAGCGGGCCAAGACAUUGGAGGUGAGGUUGAUCGGUAGGAAUUACGAUCUUAUCGGCCAAAUCCUAGAAGUUUUUGAGGAUAAAAAGAAGAAUAAAAAGAAAAAAGAGUAUUCAGUAAGAGGAAUUGCGGAUGAAUAGGAGUACAGCAAGAGUGUAGGAGAAAGGGUGGUAAGCUGACCUCAGGAACGACGAAGUUGAUGGCCAUUUCCUCGCAAGAAAGAAGAUCGAAGACUUGGGGGAUUGGUGAAGAAUGGCCUUUGUUGAAGUUCUUGGAAUCCUCGGGUAAUGCCACCGCCAGGAAAGUAGAUUUUGGGCUGUAGAAUGAUAAGAUGAAGAAGGAGUACCGGAGAAGGAAGUAUUUAUAGGACAAAUCGGGCAGGGGCAAAUCUGACUUAUCUCUUUGCCGCAUCCGUGAAAUCCGAGGGUGUUCAGGUGGAUAUGGUAACUGUUCGCACGGUAAUCAAGGGAUUGCGCAGGUGAUUUGACAGCAAGCGGUCAUGAUUUUGAAGAUAUUUCACUAUACGAGAUCUCCUGGUCGGUCCAUCGGUAGUUCCCUCUAACGGUAAUAUUGCUGAUGGGCGUAUAAAGUGGAGAGAUUCGGUUCGGGAGGUUGAGGAAUUCGAGGAAUAUGCACAAGAAUCGGGCCAAGGUUGUUCGGAUUUAACGGCCGAUUACCAAGUUGGGAGAAUUAAUUGUGGAAAGGCAUCAUUAUUGCAGAGAAUUUCGGAGCAUUAAUGAUUUUAAACUCCGAAAUUGGGGGGCAUGUGUUGACACCGUUUUUGGACACGUAUCUUUUGACGCGUAUCUGGGGAUAGUAAAGUAUAGAUCGGCAGAUGAAGCAAUGGUAACUAGUCUAUAGGGAAGUUGCCGAUGAAGGUGGUUGCCGAUGAGGAAACAACUGAAUGUGACUAAGUCCAGAGGUGGUGACGUGUUCGUGCCGAUGACCAGUAUCAAUGUUUGCCGAUGGCCACAACAGGAGGUCUGCCGAUGGCUCUGAAGGAAAGCGUGGAGGUUGCCGAUUGAUCUGUGGCGGUGCCCCGGUCGGCUACAAGGCGGUAGUUUUAUGUUUUCCUUAGUUAUUAGAAUUCGUUUUGUGUACGGGUUCCAUUUAGUUUGGAAUUCGAGUCCUAGUCAUGUCUGGUUGUAGCUCUUCGGACAGGGUAUAAAUUUAGACCCUAGAGCAAUGUAAUGAGACAAUCUAUCAAUCAAUCAAACACAAGUUUUUACUCAUAUUCCAGCAUCUACUUUUUCGACGACUUUGUCAUAUUUUCUUUUUACUACGAGUUCUUAGGAAUCCGUCGACUUACACUCGGCGUGUUCUCAAGUUCCGCGUGAACACCUCUUGGCCGUGACAUCCGGGCACAUCGCUGUUGUCAGGACCAAAGUGCUCGAGUUACCACCUUUGCUGAUUGUAAGGUCAAAUCGGCUGGCACGCCUUAACGUUUGAAUCGGGUAUUAGCCCUUUGUGUUUGCAGAUUAGCUUUUGCACCAACACGGUCGACGUAUUCCACCUCGCUCGGAUUGGUGUUUGUAGGACGUAGUCAGAGCUUCCUAGCCCCCUUCUCAUCUCUUUCUGUGGUUAGUGUUCUGAUGUCCCGAAAUAAAUAAUCUUUGAAGUAAUUCUUGAUUCUUAGAUCAACUAGAGAACUCUCAGGAAACUUCCUCUCUUCCCACCAAAAAUAAUUGUAUAGUUAUCCUUGGGCGAUCUUAAAUCUUAAUUAGUACACUCACGUUCUCUGUGGAAAAUCAAUACUCUGGAAUACUCCCGGGUGAAAGCUACAUCGGUAUCCGUGCACUUGCGGAUUUUUCUGUUUGCGUUUAAAAUACCCAACAGCUGCCAAAGCCUAAUGAACACUAUGUACGAAGCAAAACAUGUCGUCUGUCCUUUGGGAUUAGAAAUCAAGAAGAUACAUGCAUGUCCUAACAACUGCAUCCUAUACUGUGGCAAGGACUACGAGAAUUUAGAUGAAUACCCCGUAUGUAAAGCAUCACGGUAUAAGAUCAGGCGAGAUGACCCUGGCGAUGUUGAGGGGGAAGAACGUCCUAGAAAAAAAUCCCUACAAAGGUUAUGUGGUAUGCUCCUAUAAUACCACGUCUGAAACAUCUUUUUAGAAAUAAGGACCAUGCAAAAUUGUUGCGGUGGCACAAAGAAGACCGUAAAGUAGACAACAUGUUUAGACACCCUGCUGAUGGGUCCCAGUGGAGAGCAAUAGAUAGGGAAUUUCUAGAGUUUGCAAAAGACGCAAGAAACUUAAGGUUCGCUUUAAGUACGCACUGUAUGAAUCCUUUUGGUGAGCAGAACAGUAGUCAUCGCACUUGGCCUGUUACACUAUGUAUCUACAGCCUUCCUCCAUGGUUAUGCAUGAAGCAAAAGUUCAUUAUGAUGUCGGUGCUCAUCCAAGGCCCAAAGCAACCGAACAAUGACAUUGAUGUCUAUCUAAGGCCAUUAAUUGAAGAACUCCUUCUUUUAUGGAGUGAAACAGGUGUUCGUGUGUGGGAUGAGUACAAACAGGAACACUUUGACCUACGAGCACUGUUGUUUGUGACAAUCAAUGAUUGGUUUGCUCUAAGUAAUCUUUCAGGGCAGACAAACAAGGGAUAUAAUGCAUGCACACACUGUUUUGAUGACCUUGAUAGUAUAUGUUUGAAAAAAUGCAGAAAGGUCAUGUACCUUGGGUAUCGUUGAUUUCUUUCUAUGAUUCACCAAGUUAGAAAGAAAGGAAAGCAUUUGAAAGGUAAGGCGGACCACCGAUGCAAGCCUCACAACAGAACUGGAGAAGAUGUAUUUGAGAUGGUUAAGGAUGUGAAAGUAGUCUUUGGUAAGGGACAAGGCAGCCAACCAUUCCAAAAGAUGCAGCAGGUCAUGCACCCAUGUGGAAGAAGAAGUCAAUAUUUUGGAAGCUACCCUAUUGGCAAGUCCUAGAGGUCCGGAAUGCGAUCGACGUCAUGCACCUAACAAAGAAUCUUUGUGUGAACCUUCUAGAAUUUAUGGGUGUGUAUGGGAAGCCUAAGGAUUCACUUGAAGCACGACAAGACUUGCAACGCAUGGAAGAACGAGACAACCUGCAUCCAGAGAAGACAGAUGAUGGACGCCAAUAUUUAAGACCUGCUAGCUACACUCUUAGCAAUGAAGAGAAAGAAAUCAUGUUUGAAUGCUUAAGCAGCAUCAAGGUCCCAUCUGGAUUCUCCUCUAAUAUAAAAGGUAUAAUUAAUGUGCCUGAGAAGAAAUUUCUGAACUUAAAGUCGCAUGACUGCCAUGUGCUUAUGACGCAAUUGCUUCCAGUUGCAUUAAGAGGAAUUCUACCUCCACAUGUACGUCUGGCCACCGUAAAGCUAUGUGCAUUCCUCAAUGCAAUUUCUCAGAAGGCAAUCAAUCCACUGGAACUAGCUGCUCUACAGAAUCAUGUGGUUCAAUGUCUUGUCAGCUUUGAGUUAGUGUUCCCUCCAUCCUUCUUUGAUAUCAUGACACACCUCCUAGUUCAUCUGGUCAAAGAGAUCAAUAUUGUUGGUCCUGUGUUCCUACAUAAUAUGUUUCCCUUCGAGAUGUUUAUGGGAGUUUUGAAGAAAUAUGUUCACCAACGUGCUCGGCCAGAAGGAAGCAUCGCAGAGGGCUAUGGGACAGAGGAGGUCAUUGAGUUCUGGGUUGAAUUCAUUCUUAAACUUGACCCAAUUGGUGUUCCUGAAUCGUGACACGAGGGGAGACUGAGUGUAAAGGGAACACUAGGAAAGAAAACAUACAUCAGUACAGGGGAUGAUUCUUUCAAUAAAGCACACUACACAGUUCUUCAAAACUCAUCCGUGGUGGAGCCGUAUGUCACGAAACAUAAAGACUUCCUACGAUCCUAAUUCCCAGAGAAGAAUGAAGCUUGGUUUAUGCGUCAGCACAUGGACACUUUCAGUGAUUGGUUAUGAAAAGAAUGUCAUGGUAAUGACCAAAUUGAUGAGCAACUGUAUUUGUUGGCUAGGCAACCAUCAUGGCACAUCCUCACGUACAAAGGGUACGAGAUAAAUGGAAAUAUAUUUUACACCCUAGGCCAAUAUAAAAGAAGCAUGAACCAAAAUAGUGGGGUUCGCGUAGACGCCAUAGACCCGAAUGGAAACAGACAAACAUAUUAUGGCCAUAUAGAGGAGAUUUGGGAACUAGACUACGCACCUAAUUUUAAAGUCCCUUUGUUCCGGUGCCAAUGGGUGAAGGUUACCGGAGGCGGGGUGACAGUUGACAAAGACUAUGGAAUGACAACAGUGGACCUCAACAAUGUUGGUUACAAAGAUGAACCAUUCGUCCUUGCUGCUGAUGUGAAUCAGGUGUUCUAUGUGAAAGACAUGUCUACAAAACAGAAGAGAGGGAAAAAUGACAACAAAUCAACAAAUGAGCCAAAACCCCAUAUAGUUCUCUCAGGGAAAAGAAACAUUGUGGGAAGUUGACGACAAGUCAGAUAUUUCAGAAGAUUAUGAAAGGGAUGAUCGAAUCACGCCUUUCAAUGUGACCAAAGAUCUGAGCAUCCUGAUAAAUGCUGAGGACACUCCAUGGUUACGUCAAGAUCAUGACCAAGGAACAUACAUCAAAAAGAAGAUCACUAUUGUCCCCGACUAAUAAAUAGAUUGCAUUAGAGUAUGUGUAUGUGACAAUUGUAACUUAAGAUGAUCAUAUUAGUUUUUCUUAUUUUAUAUCAUUUCAAAUAAUGAAAUGACUUGUGGGAACUGACAUUUAAGUUUGCUAUUAUAAAGCACAUUUGUUCAAAAUCCAAGACGGGUUUUGGUCAAACUUUGUCAAAUGACAAACAAAAUUACAUAAAAUGAAAAAAUUUUGAAUACGAAGUUCUUAGAUAUCAUCAAGAUCUAAACUUUUUAUAUAGACAAUUUUUCCAUUUGAUAAAGUUUAAGCUGACAACACCCACCAAAUCUUCAAUCUCACAAAAACUAUAUGAAACUAUACGUGUCAAUUGUGGAUUUUCUACUACACCUUCCCAACACUUUGUCAAAUGCAAAAAUGGUCUAUAUAUUAAAUGUAGAUUUUGAUGAGUGGAACAAUAUUGGUAUUCAUGACUUUUCCAUUCGAGACCAUCUAGGGUUCCGAAAACCGAUGUUUGUCUAUGAAUUCUUUCAAAAUUCAAAAUUGAGUGGUUCAAACUUUUCCAAAAGAAAAGUUGACCAUUAGACCAACUAUAGAACUUGAUGAGUGUAACAAACUUUGUAUUCAUGACUUCUCCAUUUGGGACCAUCUAGGGUUCGGUCAAAGUGUGUGUUUCCAAAAACCAAUGCUUUGACUUUGGUCAAACUUGGUAAAAUGACCCAUUUGAUGACUUGAAAUGAAAAAAAAUUGAAUACAAAGUUGCUAGAGCUCACCAAGAUCUACAUUAUAUAUAUUGUCCAUUUUUCCAUUUGGAUAAAUUUGAGCCAAUCCUAAGUACAUUUGGUCAAAAUCCAAGACGGGUUUUGGUCAAACUUGGUCAAAUGACAAACAAAAUUACUUAAAAUGAAAAAAUUUUAAAUACCAAGUUGUUAGAUAUCAUCAAGAUCAAAACUUUUUAUAUAGACAAUAUUUCCAUUUGAGAAUGUUUAAGUUGACACACGAAAUCUUGAAUCUCACACAAACUAUAUGAAACUAUAUGUGUCAAUUGUGGAUUUUCAACUACGCCUUCCCAACACUUUGUCAACUGCAAAAAUGGUCUAUAUAUUAAAUGUAGAUUUUGAUGAGUGGAACAAUAUUGGUAUUCAUGACUUUUCCAUUCGAGACCAUCUAGGGUUCCGAAAACCGAUGCCUGGCUAUGAAUUCUUUCAAAAUUCAAAAUUGAGUGUUUCAAACUUUUCCAAAAGAAAAGUUAACCAUUAGACCAAAUGUAGAACUUGAUGACUGUAACAAACUUUGUAUUCAUAACUUUUCCAUUUGGGACAAUCUAGGGUUCGGUCAAAGUGUGUGUUUCUAAAAACAAUGCUUUGACUUUGGUCAAACUUGGCCAAAUGACCCAUUUGAUGACUUGAAAUGAAAAAAAAUGAAUACAAAGUUGCUAGAGAUCAUCAAGAUCUACAUUUUAUAUAUUGUCCAUUUUUCCAUUUGGAUAAAUUUGAGCCAAUCCUAAGCACAUUUAGUCAAAUUCCAAGAUGGGUUUUAGUCAAACUUGGUCAAAUGACAAACAAAAUUACUUAAAAUGAAAAAAAUUUGAAUACUAAGUUGUUAGAUAUCAUCAAGAUCUAAACUUUUUAUAUAGAAAAUUUUUCCAUUUAAGAAAGUUUAAGUUGACAAUACCCACCAAAUCUUGAAUCUCACACAAUCUAUAUGAAACUAUAUGUGUCAAUUGUGGAUUUUCAACUACACCUUCCCAACACUUUGUCAAAUGCAAAAAUGGUCUAUAUAUUAAAUGUAGAUUUUGAUGAGUGGAACAAUAUUGGUAUUCAUGACUUUUCCAUUCGAGAACAUCUAGGGUUCCAAAAACCGAUGUCUCUGGCUAUGAAUUAUUUCAAAAUUCAUAAUUGAGUGGUUCAAACUUUUCCAAAAGAAAAGUUAAUCAUUAGACCAAAUGUAGAACUUGAUGAGUGUAACAAACUUUGUAUUCAUAACUUUUCCAUUUUGGACCAUCUAGAGUUCGGUCAAAGUGUGUGUUUCUAAAAACCAAUGCUUUGACUUUGGUCAAACUUGGUAAAAUGACCCAUUUGAUGACUUGAAAUGAAAAAAAAUUGAAUACAAAGUUGCUAGAGCUCACCAAGAUCUACAUUAUAUAUAUUGUCCAUUUUUCCAUUUGGAUAAAUUUGAGCCAAUCCUAAGUACAUUUGGUCAAAAUCCAAGACGGGUUUUGGUCAAACUUGGUCAAAUGACAAACAAAAUUACUUAAAAUGAAAAAAUUUUAAAUACCAAGUUGUUAGAUAUCAUCAAGAUCAAAACUUUUUAUAUAGACAAUAUUUCCAUUUGAGAAUGUUUAAGUUGACACACGAAAUCUUGAAUCUCACACAAACUAUAUGAAACUAUAUGUGUCAAUUGUGGAUUUUCAACUACGCCUUCCCAACACUUUGUCAACUGCAAAAAUGGUCUAUAUAUUAAAUGUAGAUUUUGAUGAGUGGAACAAUAUUGGUAUUCAUGACUUUUCCAUUCGAGACCAUCUAGGGUUCCGAAAACCGAUGCCUGUCUAUGAAUUCUUUCAAAAUCCAAAAUUGAGUGGUUCAAACUUUUCCAAAAGAAAAGUUAACCAUUAGACCAAAUGUAGAACUUGAUGACUGUAACAAACUUUGUAUUCAUAACUUUUCCAUUUGGGACAAUCUAGGGUUCGGUCAAAGUGUGUGUUUCUAAAAACAAUGCUUUGACUUUGGUCAAACUUGGCCAAAUGACCCAUUUGAUGACUUGAAAUGAAAAAAAAUGAAUACAAAGUUGCUAGAGAUCAUCAAGAUCUACAUUUUAUAUAUUGUCCAUUUUUCCAUUUGGAUAAAUUUGAGCCAAUCCUAAGCACAUUUAGUCAAAUUCCAAGAUGGGUUUUAGUCAAACUUGGUCAAAUGACAAACAAAAUUACUUAAAAUGAAAAAAAUUUGAAUACUAAGUUGUUAGAUAUCAUCAAGAUCUAAACUUUUUAUAUAGAAAAUUUUUCCAUUUAAGAAAGUUUAAGUUGACAAUACCCACCAAAUCUUGAAUCUCACACAAUCUAUAUGAAACUAUAUGUGUCAAUUGUGGAUUUUCAACUACACCUUCCCAACACUUUGUCAAAUGCAAAAAUGGUCUAUAUAUUAAAUGUAGAUUUUGAUGAGUGGAACAAUAUUGGUAUUCAUGACUUUUCCAUUCGAGAACAUCUAGGGUUCCAAAAACCGAUGUCUCUGGCUAUGAAUUAUUUCAAAAUUCAUAAUUGAGUGGUUCAAACUUUUCCAAAAGAAAAGUUAAUCAUUAGACCAAAUGUAGAACUUGAUGAGUGUAACAAACUUUGUAUUCAUAACUUUUCCAUUUUGGACCAUCUAGAGUUCGGUCAAAGUGUGUGUUUCUAAAAACCAAUGCUUUGACUUUGGUCAAACUUGGUAAAAUGACCCAUUUGAUGACUUGAAAUGAAAAAAAAUUGAAUACAAAGUUGCUAGAGCUCACCAAGAUCUACAUUAUAUAUAUUGUCCAUUUUUCCAUUUGGAUAAAUUUGAGCCAAUCCUAAGUACAUUUGGUCAAAAUCCAAGACGGGUUUUGGUCAAACUUGGUCAAAUGACAAACAAAAUUACUUAAAAUGAAAAAAUUUUAAAUACCAAGUUGUUAGAUAUCAUCAAGAUCAAAACUUUUUAUAUAGACAAUAUUUCCAUUUGAGAAUGUUUAAGUUGACACACGAAAUCUUGAAUCUCACACAAACUAUAUGAAACUAUAUGUGUCAAUUGUGGAUUUUCAACUACGCCUUCCCAACACUUUGUCAACUGCAAAAAUGGUCUAUAUAUUAAAUGUAGAUUUUGAUGAGUGGAACAAUAUUGGUAUUCAUGACUUUUCCAUUCGAGACCAUCUAGGGUUCCGAAAACCGAUGCCUGUCUAUGAAUUCUUUCAAAAUCCAAAAUUGAGUGGUUCAAACUUUUCCAAAAGAAAAGUUAACCAUUAGACCAAAUGUAGAACUUGAUGACUGUAACAAACUUUGUAUUCAUAACUUUUCCAUUUGGGACAAUCUAGGGUUCGGUCAAAGUGUGUGUUUCUAAAAACAAUGCUUUGACUUUGGUCAAACUUGGCCAAAUGACCCAUUUGAUGACUUGAAAUGAAAAAAAUUGAAUACAAAGUUGCUAGAGAUCAUCAAGAUCUACAUUUUAUAUAUUGUCCAUUUUUCCAUUUGGAUAAAUUUGAGCCAAUCCUAAGCACAUUUAGUCAAAUUCCAAGAUGGGUUUUAGUCAAACUUGGUCAAAUGACAAACAAAAUUACUUAAAAUGAAAAAAAAUUGAAUACUAAGUUGUUAGAUAUCAUCAAGAUCUAAACUUUUUAUAUAGAAAAUUUUUCCAUUUAAGAAAGUUUAAGUUGACAAUACCCACCAAAUCUUGAAUCUCACACAAUCUAUAUGAAACUAUAUGUGUCAAUUGUGGAUUUUCAACUACACCUUCCCAACACUUUGUCAAAUGCAAAAAUGGUCUAUAUAUUAAAUGUAGAUUUUGAUGAGUGGAACAAUAUUGGUAUUCAUGACUUUUCCAUUCGAGAACAUCUAGGGUUCCAAAAACCGAUGUCUCUCGCUAUGAAUUAUUUCAAAAUUCAUAAUUGAGUGGUUCAAACUUUUCCAAAAGAAAAGUUAAUCGUUAGACCAAAUGUAGAACUUGAUGAGUGUAACAAACUUUGUAUUCAUAACUUUUCCAUUUUGGACCAUCUAGAGUUCGGUCAAAGUGUGUGUUUCUAAAAACCAAUGCUUUGACUUUGGUCAAACUUGGUCAAAUGACCCAUUUGAUGACUUGAAAUGAAAAAAAAUUGAAUACAAAGUUGCUAGAGAUCAUCAAGAUCUACAUUUUAUAUAUUGUCCAUUUUUCCAUUUGGAUAAAUUUGAGCCAAUCCUAAGCACAUUUAAUCAAAUUCCAAGAUGGGUUUUAGUCAAACUUGGUCAAAUGACAAACAAAAUUACUUAAAAUGAAAAAAUUUUGAAUACUAAGUUGUUAGAUAUCAUCAAGAUCUAAACUUUUUAUAUAGACAAUUUUUCCAUUUAAGAAAGUUUAAGUUGACAAUACCCACCAAAUCUUGAAUCUCACACAAUCUAUAUGAAACUAUAUGUGUCAAUUGUGAAUUUUCAACUACAACUUCCCAACACUUUGUCAAAUACAAAAAUGGUCUAUAUAUUAAAUGUAGAUUUUGAUGAGUGGAACAAUAUUGGUAUUCAUGACUUUUCCAUUCGAGACCAUCUAGGGUUCCAAAAAUCGAUGUCUCUGGCUAUGAAUUAUUUCAAAAUUCAAUAUUGAGUGGUUCAAACUUUUUCCAAAAGAAAAGUUAACCAUUACACCAAAUGUAGAACUUGAUGAGUGUAACGAACUUUGUAUUCAUAACUUUUCCAUUUGGGACAUCUAGGGUUCGGUCAAAGUGUGUGUUUCUAAAAACCAAUGCUUUGACUUUGGUCAAACUUGGUCAAAUGACCCAUUUGAUUACUUGAAAUGAAAAAAAAAUUGAAUACAAAGUUGCUAGAGAACAUCAAGAUCUACAUUUUAUAUAUUGUCCAUUUUUCCAUUUAGAUAAAUUUGAGCCAAUCCUAAGCACAUUUGGUCAAAUUCCAAGACGGGUUUUGGUCAAACUUGGUCAAAUGACGAACAAAAUUACUUAAAAUGAAAAAAUUUUGAAUACCAAGUUGUUAGAUAUCAUCAAGAUCUAAACUUGUUAUAUAGACAAUUUUUCCAUUUGAGAAAGUUUAAGUUGACAAUACCCACCAAAUCUUGAAUCUCACACAAUCUAUAUGAAACUAUAUGUGUCAAUUGUGGAUUUUUAACUACACAAUCCCAACAAUUUGUCAAAUGCAAAAAUGGUCUAUGUAUUAAAUGUAGAUUUUGAUGAGUGGAACAAUAUUGGUAUUCAUGACUUUUCCAUUCGAGACCAUCUAGGGUUCCGAAAACCGAUGCCUAGCUAUGAAUUCCUUCAAAAUUCAAAAUUGAGUGGUUCAAACUUUUCCAAAAGAAAAGUUAACCAUUAGACCAAAUGUAGAACUUGAUGAGUGUAACAAACUUUGUAUUCAUACUUUCCAUUUGGGACCAUCUACGGUCGNNNNNNNNNNNNNNNNNNNNNNNNNNNNNNNNNNNNNNNNNNNNNNNNNNNNNNNNNNNNNNNNNNNNNNNNNNNNNNNNNNNNNNNNNNNNNNNNNNNNNNNNNNNNNNNNNNNNNNNNNNNNNNNNNNNNNNNNNNNNNNNNNNNNNNNNNNNNNNNNNNNNNNNNNNNNNNNNNNNNNNNNNNNNNNNNNNNNNNNNNNNNNNNNNNNNNNNNNNNNNNNNNNNNNNNNNNNNNNNNNNNNNNNNNNNNNNNNNNNNNNNNNNNNNNNNNNNNNNNNNNNNNNNNNNNNNNNNNNNNNNNNNNNNNNNNNNNNNNNNNNNNNNNNNNNNNNNNNNNNNNNNNNNNNNNNNNNNNNNNNNNNNNNNNNNNNNNNNNNNNNNNNNNNNNNNNNNNNNNNNNNNNNNNNNNNNNNNNNNNNNNNNNNNNNNNNNNNNNNNNNNNNNNNNNNNNNNNNNNNNNNNNNNNNNNNNNNNNNNNNNNNNNNNNNNNNNNNNNNNNNNNNNNNNNNNNNNNNNNNNNNNNNNNNNNNNNNNNNNNNNNNNNNNNNNNNNNNNNNNNNNNNNNNNNNNNNNNNNNNNNNNNNNNNNNNNNNNNNNNNNNNNNNNNNNNNNNNNNNNNNNNNNNNNNNNNNNNNNNNNNNNNNNNNNNNNNNNNNNNNNNNNNNNNNNNNNNNNNNNNNNNNNNNNNNNNNNNNNNNNNNNNNNNNNNNNNNNNNNNNNNNNNNNNNNNNNNNNNNNNNNNNNNNNNNNNNNNNNNNNNNNNNNNNNNNNNNNNNNNNNNNNNNNNNNNNNNNNNNNNNNNNNNNNNNNNNNNNNNNNNNNNNNNNNNNNNNNNNNNNNNNNNNNNNNNNNNNNNNNNNNNNNNNNNNNNNNNNNNNNNNNNNNNNNNNNNNNNNNNNNNNNNNNNNNNNNNNNNNNNNNNNNNNNNNNNNNNNNNNNNNNNNNNNNNNNNNNNNNNNNNNNNNNNNNNNNNNNNNNNNNNNNNNNNNNNNNNNNNNNNNNNNNNNNNNNNNNNNNNNNNNNNNNNNNNNNNNNNNNNNNNNNNNNNNNNNNNNNNNNNNNNNNNNNNNNNNNNNNNNNNNNNNNNNNNNNNNNNNNNNNNNNNNNNNNNNNNNNNNNNNNNNNNNNNNNNNNNNNNNNNNNNNNNNNNNNNNNNNNNNNNNNNNNNNNNNNNNNNNNNNNNNNNNNNNNNNNNNNNNNNNNNNNNNNNNNNNNNNNNNNNNNNNNNNNNNNNNNNNNNNNNNNNNNNNNNNNNNNNNNNNNNNNNNNNNNNNNNNNNNNNNNNNNNNNNNNNNNNNNNNNNNNNNNNNNNNNNNNNNNNNNNNNNNNNNNNNNNNNNNNNNNNNNNNNNNNNNNNNNNNNNNNNNNNNNNNNNNNNNNNNNNNNNNNNNNNNNNNNNNNNNNNNNNNNNNNNNNNNNNNNNNNNNNNNNNNNNNNNNNNNNNNNNNNNNNNNNNNNNNNNNNNNNNNNNNNNNNNNNNNNNNNNNNNNNNNNNNNNNNNNNNNNNNNNNNNNNNNNNNNNNNNNNNNNNNNNNNNNNNNNNNNNNNNNNNNNNNNNNNNNNNNNNNNNNNNNNNNNNNNNNNNNNNNNNNNNNNNNNNNNNNNNNNNNNNNNNNNNNNNNNNNNNNNNNNNNNNNNNNNNNNNNNNNNNNNNNNNNNNNNNNNNNNNNNNNNNNNNNNNNNNNNNNNNNNNNNNNNNNNNNNNNNNNNNNNNNNNNNNNNNNNNNNNNNNNNNNNNNNNNNNNNNNNNNNNNNNNNNNNNNNNNNNNNNNNNNNNNNNNNNNNNNNNNNNNNNNNNNNNNNNNNNNNNNNNNNACUUGAAAUGAAAAAAAAUUGAAUACAAAGUUGCUAGAGAACAUCAAGAUCUACAUUUUAUAUAUUGUCCAUUUUUCCAUUUGGAUAAAUUUGAGCCAAUCCUAAGCUCAUUUAAUCAAAUUCCAAGAUGGGUUUUAGUCAAACUUGGUCAAAUGACAAACAAAAUUACUUAAAAUGAAAAAAAAUUGAAUACUAAGUUGUUAGAUAUCAUCAAGAUCUAAACUUUUUAUAUAGAAAAUUUUUCCAUUUAAGAAAGUUUAAGUUGACAAUACCCACCAAAUCUUGAAUCUCACACAAUCUAUAUGAAACUAUAUGUGUCAAUUGUGGAUUUUCAACUACACCUUCCCAACACUUUGUCAAAUGCAAAAAUGGUCUAUAUAUUAAAUGUAGAUUUUGAUGAGUGGAACAAUAUUGGUAUUCAUGACUUUUCCAUUCGAGGCCAUCUAGGGUUCAAAAAACUGAUGCCUGGCUAUGAGUUCUUUCAAAAUUCAAAAUUGAGUGGUUCAAAUUUUUCCAAAAGAAAAGUUGACCAUUAGACCAAAUGUAGAACUUGAUGAGUGUAACAAACUUUGUAUUCAUGACUUUUCCAUUUGGGACCAUCUUGGGUUCGGUCAAUGUGUGUGUCAAGCUUGGUCAAAUGACCCAUUUGAUGACUUCAAAUGAAAAAAAUUUGAAUACAAAGUUGUUAGAGAUCAUCAAGAUCUACAUUUGAUAUAUUGUCUAUUUUUUCAUUUGGAUAAAUUUGAGCCAAUCCUAAGCACAUUUGUUCAAAAUCCAAGACGGGUUUUGGUCAAACUUGGUCAAAUGACAAACAAAAAUACUUAAAAUGAAAAAACUUUGAAUACCAAGUUGUUAGAUAUCAUCAAGAUCUAAAUAUUUUAUAUAGACAAUUUUUCCAUUUGAGAAAGUUUAAGUUGACAAUACCCACCAAAUUUUGAAUCUCACACAAACUAUAUGAAACUAUAUGUGUCAAUUGUGGAUUUUCAACUACACCUUCCCAACACUUUGUCAAAUGCAAAAAUGGUCUAUAUAUUAAAUGUAGAUUUUGAUGAGUGGAACAAUUUUGGUAUUCAUGACUUUUCCAUUCGAGACCAUCUAGGGUUCCAAAAACCGAUGCCUGGCUAUGAAUUCUUUCAAAAUUCAAAAUUGAUUGGUUCAAACUUUUCCAAAAGAAAAGUUGACCAUUAGACCAAAUGUAGAACUUGAUGAGUGUAACAAACUUUGUAUUCAUGACUUUUCCAUUUGGGACCAUCUAGGGUUCGGUCAAAGUGUGUGUUUCUAAAAACCAAUGCUUUGACUUUGGUCAAACUUGGUCAAAUGACCCAUUUGGUGACUUCAAAUGAAAAAAAUUUGAAUACAAAGUUGUUAGAGAUCAUCAAGAUCUAUAUUUGAUAUAUUGUCCAUUUUUGGAUUUGGAAAAAAUUGAGCCAAUCCUAAGCACAUUUGUACAAAAUCCAAGAUGGGUUUUGGUCACACUUGGCCAAAUGACAAACAAAAAUACUGAAAAUGAAAAAACUUUGAAUACCAAGUUGUUAGAUAUCAUCAAGAUCUAUUCUUUUUAUAUAGACAAUUUUUCUAUUUGAGAAAGUUUAAGUUGGCAAUACCCACCAAAUUUUGAAUCUCACACAAACUAUAUGAAACUAUAUGUGUCAAUUGUGGAUUUUCAACUACACCUUCCCAACACUUUGUCAAAUGCAAAAAUGGUCUAUAUAUUAAAUGUAGAUUUUGAUGAGUGGAACAAUAUUGGUAUUCAUGACUUUUCCAUUCGAGACCAUCUAGGGUUCCAAAAACUGAUGCCUGGCUAUGAGUUCUUUCAAAAUUCAAAAUUGAGUGGUUCAAAUUUUUCCAAAAGAAAAGUUGACCAUUAGACCAAAUGUAGAACUUGAUGAGUGUAACAAACUUUGUAUUCAUGACUUUUCCAUUUGGGACCAUCUUGGGUUCGGUCAAUGUGUGUGUCAAACUUGGUCAAAUGACCCAUUUGAUGACUUGAAAUGAAAAAAAUUUGAAUACAAAGUUGUUAGAGAUCAUCAACAUCUACAUUUGAUAUAUUGUCUAUUUUUCCAUUUGGAUAAAUUUGAGCCAAUCCUAAGCACAUUUGUUUAAAAUCCAAGACGGGUUUUGGUCAAACUUGGUCAAAUGACAAACAAAAAUACUUAAAAUGAAAAAACUUUGAAUACCAAGUUGUUAGAUAUCAUCAAGAUCUAAAUAUUUUAUAUAGACAAUUUUUCCAUUUGAGAAUGUUUAAGUUGACAAUACCCACCAAAUCUUGAGUCUCACACAAACUAUAUGAAACUAUAUGUGUCAAUUGUGGAUUUUCAACUACACCUUCCCAACACUUUGUCAAAUGCAAAAAUGGUCUAUAUAUUAAAUGUAGAUUUUGAUGAGUGGAACAAUUUUGGUAUUCAUGACUUUUCCAUUCGAGACCAUCUAGGGUUCCAAAAACCGAUGCCUGGCUAUGAAUUCUUUCAAAAUUCAAAAUUGAUUGGUUCAAACUUUUCCAAAAGAAAAGUUGACAAUUAGACCAAAUGUAGAACUUGAUGAGUGUAACAAACUUUGUAUUCAUGACUUUUCCAUUUGGGACCAUCUAGGGUUCGGUCAAAUUGUGUGUUUCUAAAAACCAAUGCUUUGACUUUGGUCAAACUUGGUCAAAUGACCCAUUUGAUGACUUCAAAUGAAAAAAAUAUGAAUACAAAGUUGUUAGAGAUCAUCAAGAUCUACAUUUGAUAUAUUGUCCAUUUUUCCAUUUGGAACAAAUUGAGCCAAUCCUAAGCACAUUUGUUCNNNNNNNNNNNNNNNNNNNNNNNNNNNNNNNNNNNNNNNNNNNNNNNNNNNNNNNNNNNNNNNNNNNNNNNNNNNNNNNNNNNNNNNNNNNNNNNNNNNNNNNNNNNNNNNNNNNNNNNNNNNNNNNNNNNNNNNNNNNNNNNNNNNNNNNNNNNNNNNNNNNNNNNNNNNNNNNNNNNNNNNNNNNNNNNNNNNNNNNNNNNNNNNNNNNNNNNNNNNNNNNNNNNNNNNNNNNNNNNNNNNNNNNNNNNNNNNNNNUUAAAAUGAAAAAACUUUGAAUACCAAGUUGUUAGAUAUCAUCAGAUCUAAACGUUUAUAUAGACAAUUUUUCCAUUUGAGAAAGUUUAAGUUGACAAUACCCACCAAAUCGUGAAUCUCACACAAUCUAUAUGAAACUAUAUGUGUCAAUUGUGGAUUUUCAACUACACCUUCCCAGCACUUUGUCAAAUGCAAAAAAGGUCUAUAUAUUAAAUGUAGAUUUUGAUGAGUGGAACAAUUUUGGUAUUCAUGACUUUUCCAUUCGAGACCAUCUAGGGUUCCAAAAACCGAUGCCUGGCUAUGAAUUCUUUCAAAAUUCAAAAUUGAUUGGUUCAAACUUUUCCAAAAGAAAAGUUGACCAUUAGACCAAAUGUAGAACUUGAUGAGUGUAACAAACUUUGUAUUCAUGACUUUUCCAUUUGGGACCAUCUAGGGUUCCGUCAAAGUGUGUGUUUCUAAAAACCAAUGCUUUGACUUUGGUCAAACUUGGUCAAAUGACCCAUUUGAUGACUUCAAAUGAAAAAAAUUUGAAUACAAAGUUGUUAGAGAUCAUCAAGAUCUACAUUUGAUAUAUUGUCCAUUUUUGGAUUUGGAAAAAAUUGAGCCAAUCCUAAGCACAUUUGUUAAAUAUCCAAGACAGGUUUUGGUCACACUUGGUCAAAUGACAAACAAAAAUACUUAAAAUGAAAAAACUUUGAAUACCAAGUUGUUAGAUAUCAUCAAGAUCUAUUCUUUUUAUAUAGACAAUUUUUCCAUUUGAGAAAGUUUAAGUUGACAAUACCCACCAAAUUUUGAAUCUCACACAAACUAUAUGAAACUAUAUGUGUCAAUUGUGGAUUUUCAACUACACCUUCCCAAUACUUUGUCAAAUGCAAAAAUGGUCUAUAUAUUAAAUGUAGAUUUUGAUGAGUGGAACAAUAUUGGUAUUCAUGACUUUUCCAUUCGAGACCAUCUAGGGUUCCAAAAACUGAUGCCUGGCUAUGAAUUCUUUCAAAAUUCAAAAUUGAGUGGUUCAAAUUUUUCCAAAAGAAAAGUUGACCAUUAGACCAAAUGUAGAACUUGAUGAGUGUAACAAACUUUGUAUUCAUGACUUUUCCAUUUGGGACCAUCUUGGGUUCGGUCAAUGUGUGUGUCAAGCUUGGUCAAAUGACCCAUUUGAUGACUUCAAAUGAAAAAAAUUUGAAUACAAAGUUGUUAGAGAUCAUCAAGAUCUACAUUUGAUAUAUUGUCUAUUUUUUCAUUUGGAUAAAUUUGAGCCAAUCCUAAGCACAUUUGUUCAAAAUCCAAGACGGGUUUUGGUCAAACUUGGUCAAAUGACAAACAAAAAUACUUAAAAUGAAAAAACUUUGAAUACCAAGUUGUUAGAUAUCAUCAAGAUCUAAAUAUUUUAUAUAGACAAUUUUUCCAUUUGAGAAAGUUUAAGUUGACAAUACCCACCAAAUUUUGAAUCUCACACAAACUAUAUGAAACUAUAUGUGUCAAUUGUGGAUUUUCAACUACACCUUCCCAACACUUUGUCAAAUGCAAAAAUGGUCUAUAUAUUAAAUGUAGAUUUUGAUGAGUCGAACAAUAUUAGUAUUCAUGACUUUUCCAUUCGAGACCAUCUAGGGUUCCAAAAACCGAUGCCUGGCUAUGAAUUCUUUCAAAAUUCAAAAUUGAGUGGUUCAAACUUUUCCAAAAGAAAAGUUGACCAUUAGACCAAAUGUAGAACUUGAUGAGUGUAACAAACUUUGUAUUCAUGACUUUUCCAUUUGGGACCAUCUAGGGUUCGGUCAAAGUGUGUGUUUCUAAAAACCAAUGCUUUGACUUUGGUCAAACUUGGUCAAAUGACCCAUUUGAUGACUUCAAAUGAAAAAAAUUUGAAUACAAAGUUGUUAGAGAUCAUCAAGAUCUAUAUUUGAUAUAUUGUCCAUUUUUGGAUUUGGAAAAAAUUGAGCCAAUCCUAAGCACAUUUGUUAAAUAUCCAAGACAGGUUUUGGUCACACUUGGUCAAAUGACAAACAAAAAUACUUAAAAUGAAAAAACUUUGAAUACCAAGUUGUUAGAUAUCAUCAAGAUCUAUUCUUUUUAUAUAGACAAUUUUUCCAUUUGAGAAAGUUUAAGUUGACAAUACCCACCAAAUUUUGAAUCUCACACAAACUAUAUGAAACUAUAUGUGUCAAUUGUGGAUUUUCAACUACACCUUCCCAACACUUUGUCAAAUGCAAAAAUGGUCUAUAUAUUAAAUGUAGAUUUUGAUGAGUGGAACAAUAUUGGUAUUCAUGACUUUUCCAUUCGAGACCAUCUAGGGUUCCAAAAACUGAUGCCUGGCUAUGAGUUCUUUCAAAAUUCAAAAUUGAGUGGUUCAAAUUUUUCCAAAAGAAAAGUUGACCAUUAGACCAAAUGUAGAACUUGAUGAGUGUAACAAACUUUGUAUUCAUGACUUUUCCAUUUGGGACCAUCUUGGGUUCGGUCAAUGUGUGUGUCAAACUUGGUCAAAUGACCCAUUUGAUGACUUCAAAUGAAAAAAAUUUGAAUACAAAGUUGUUAGAGAUCAUCAAGAUCUACAUUUGAUAUAUUUUCUAUUUUUCCAUUUGGAUAAAUUUGAGCCAAUCCUAAUCACAUUUGUUCAAAAUCCAAGACGAGUUUUGGUCACACUUGGUCAAAUGACAAACAAAAAUACUUAAAAUGAAAAAACUUUGAAUACCAAGUUGUUAGAUAUCAUCAAGAUCUAAAUUUUUUAUAUAGACAAUUUUUCCAUUUGAGAAAGUUUAAGUUGACAAUACCCACCAAAUCUUGUGUCUCACACAAACUAUAUGAAACUAUAUGUGUCAAUUGUGGAUUUUCAACUACACCUUCCCAACACUUUGUCAAAUGCAAAAAUGGUCUAUAUAUUAAAUGUAGAUUUUGAUGAGUGGAACAAUAUCGGUAUUCAUGACUUUUCCAUUCGAGACCAUCUAGGGUUUCAAAAACCGAUGCCUGGCUACGAAUUCUUUCAAAAUUCAAAAUUGAGUGGUUCAAACUUUUCCAAAAGAAAAGUUGACCAUUAGACCAAAUGUAGAACUUGAUGAGUGUAACAAACUUUGUAUUCAUGACUUUUCCAUUUGGGACCAUCUAGGGUUCGGUCAAAGUGUGUGUUUCUAAAAACCAAUGCUUUGACUUUGGUCAAACUUGGUCAAAUGACCCAUUUGAUGACUUCAAAUGAAAAAAAUUUGAAUACAAAGUUGUUAGAGAUCAUCAAGAUCUACAUUUGAUAUAUUGUCCAUUUUUUCAUUUGGAUAAAUUUGAGCCAAUCCUAAGCACAUUUUUACAAAAUCCAAGAUGGGUUUUGGUCACACUUGGCCAAAUGACAAACAAAAAUACUUGAAAUGAAAAAAUUUUGAAUACCAAGUUGUUAGAUAUCAUCAAGAUCUAUUCUUUUUAUAUAGACAAUUUUUCCAUUUGAGAAAGUUUAAGUUGACAAUACCCACCAAAUUUUGAAUCUCACACAAACUAUAUGAAACUAUAUGUGUCAAUUGUGGAUUUUCAACUACACCUUCCCAACACUUUGUCAAAUGCAAAAAUGGUCUAUAUAUUAAAUGUAGAUUUUGAUGAGUGGAACAAUAUUGGUAUUCAUGACUUUUCCAUUCGAGACCAUCUAGGGUUCAAAAAACUGAUGCCUGGCUAUGAGUUCUUUCAAAAUUCAAAAUUGAGUGGUUCAAAUUUUUCCAAAAGAAAAGUUGACCAUUAGACCAAAUGUAGAACUUGAUGAGUGUAACAAACUUUGUAUUCAUGACUUUUCCAUUUGGGACCAUCUUGGGUUUGGUCAAUGUGUGUGUCAAACUUGGUCAAAUGGCCCAUUUGAUGACUUCAAAUGAAAAAAAUUUGAAUACAAAGUUGUUAGAGAUCAUCAACAUCUACAUUUGAUAUAUUGUCUAUUUUUCCAUUUGGAUAAAUUUGAGCCAAUCCUAAGCACAUUUGUUCCAAAUCCAAGACGGGUUUUGGUCACACUUGGUCAAAUGACAAACAAAAAUACUUAAAAUGAAAAAACUUUGAAUACCAAGUUGUUAGAUAUCAUCAAGAUCUAAAUUUUUUAUAUAGACAAUUUUUCCAUUUGAGAAAGUCUAAAUUGACAAUACCUACCAAAUCUUGUGUCUCACACAAACUAUAUGAAACUAUAUGUGUCAAUUGUGGAUUUUCAACUACACCUUCCCAACACUUUGUCAAAUGCAAAAAUGGUCUAUAUAUUAAAUGUAGAUUUUGAUGAGUGGAACAAUAUUGGUAUUCAUGACUUUUCCAUUCGAGACCAUCUAGGGUUUCAAAAACCGAUGCCUGGCUAUUCUUUUUCAAAAUUAAAAAUUGAGUGGUUCAAACUUUUCCAAAAGAAAAGUUGACCAUUAGACCAAAUGUAGAACUUGAUGAGUGUAACAAACUUUGUAUUGAUGACUUUUCAAUUUGGGACCAUCUAGGGAUCGGUCAAAGUGUGUGUUUCUAAAAACCAAUGCUUUGACUUUGGUCAAACUUGGUCAAAUGACCCAUUUGAUGACUUCAAAUGAAAAAAAUUUGAAUACAAAGUUGUUAGAGAUCAUCAAGAUCUACAUUUGAUAUAUUGUCCAUUUUUUCAUUUGGAUAAAUUUGAGCCAAUCCUAAGCACAUUUGUUCAAAAUCCAAGACGGGUUUUGGUCACACUUGGCCAAAUGACAAACAAAAAUACUUAAAAUGAAAAAAUUUUGAAUACCAAGUUGUUAGAUAUCAUCAAGAUCUAUUCUUUUUAUAUAGACAAUUUUUCCAUUUGAGAAAGUUUAAGUUGACAAUACCCACCAAAUUUUGAAUCUCACACAAACUAUAUGAAACUAUAUGUGUCAAUUGUGGAUUUUCAACUACACCUUCCCAACACUUUGUCAAAUGCAAAAAUGGUCUAUAUAUUAAAUGUAGAUUUUGAUGAGUGGAACAAUAUUGGUAUUCAUGACUUUUCCAUUCGAGACCAUCUAGGGUUCCAAAAACUGAUGCCUGGCAAUGAGUUCUUUCAAAAUUCAAAAUUGAGUGGUUCAAAUUUUUCCAAAAGAAAAGUUGACCAUUAGACCAAAUGUAGAACUUGAUGAGUGUAACAAACUUUGUAUUCAUGACUUUUCCAUUUGGGACCAUCUUGGGUUCGGUCAAUGUGUGUGUCAAACUUGGUCAAAUGACCCAUUUGAUGACUUCAAAUGAAAAAAUUUGAAUACAAAGUUGUAAGAGAUCAUCAACAUCUACAUUUGAUAUAUUUUCUAUUUUUCCAUUUGGAUAAAUUUGAGCCAAUCCUAAGCACAUUUGUUCAAAAUCCAAGACGGGUUUUGGUCACACUUGGUCAAAUGACAAACAAAAAUACUUAAAAUGAAAAAACUUUGAAUACCAAGUUGUUAGAUAUCAUCGAGAUCUAAAUUUUUUAUAUAGACAAAUUUUUCCAUUUGAGAAAGUUUAAGUUGACAAUACCCACCAAAUCUUGAGUCUCACACAAACUAUAUGAAACUAUAUGUGUCAAUUGUGGAUUUUCAACUACACCUUCCCAACACUUUGUCAAAUGCAAAAUUGGUCUAUAUAUUAAAUGUAGAUUUUGAUGAGUGGAACAAUAUUGGUAUUCAUGACUUUUCCAUUCGAGACCAUCUAGGGUUCCUGUUGACGGUCCUUAAUGCUCACAUUUAACCAUCAACUAAUCAUGGAAAAGGAUCUAAAUGCAACCAACACCUAGACUUAGGGUUUUAUCUGACAGAAUUCCACAAGUUUUGGUGUUUGUCUAUUUCUGCAGGGGGUUAUCAGGAAAUAUAAAAGAAAGACCCACAUGUCGGGUUUACAUAGAGAUAUUAACAUGCCGCGCAAUUUUCUAACAUCUAGAAGACUCCAGAAGCCACGGGACCGAAGCGGAGGCCGAGAGGACAAAGGGACAGGGCGCCCGCCCUCAGCCAGAGUCCAAUCAGGACUCUCUUUCGGGAUAUUGCUCCACCGACCUAAAGGAUCAACAAUAACCGUUCAAUCAAUGUCGGUUUGAUCCGACGGCCCAGAUUCACUUGAAGGGACUAUAAAACCAGACCCCCUGGCCCCUGGAGAUCAUACCUCUUCUACAGAAUCAAAGCUAGGGUUUCAAUUCUUCAUCCAAGUAGAGAGGAUCCCUCUAGUUCUUCUAGUUCUACCUCUAGUUCAUCUAGAUCUAGUUCUAGUUCAUCUAGUUCUAGUUCUAGUUCCUCUAGUUCUAGUUCUAGUUAGUUCUAGUUGUAAUCUAGAAAAUAGGGAGAGAGAAGAGGAGAGCGGAGGAGGAACCGGAUCUGUCGGAUCUUCCUCAACAUUAUACUUUUGCAGCAUCUGGUUCGUUCUUCGUCGUUCUCCAGGUUCUUUAAUUCAUAAUUCCUGAGUUCUUUAAUUACUUUUAUUUACAUUCAAGUUAUUUAUUGGAUUCUCGCUUGCAUCAAGUGCUCUAGUCUUUAUAACGCUAGAGUAGUAAUUAAUAGAUUAGACGUGGUGUUUAGUCUUGCAAUUAUCUGGAAUUGCACCCAAUCCUACGGAUUGUUGUGGUAGCCCUAGGGUAGUGACAGCCCUAACGGUCGACGUAUUCCACCACGUUCGGAUCGGUGUUUGUAGGACCGUAGUCAGACCUUCCUAGCCCCCUUCUCAUCUCUUUCUGUGGUUAGUGCUCUGAUGUCCCGAUAUAGAUAAUCUUGAAGUAAUUCUUGAUUCUUAGAUCAACUAGAGAACUCUCAGAAAACUUCCUCUCUUCCCACCAAAAAUAAUUAUAUAGUUAUCCUUGGGCGAUCUUGAUUCUUAAUUAGUACACUCACGUUCUCUGUGGAAAAUCGAUACUCUGGAAUACUCCCGGGUGAAAGCUACAUCGGUAUCCGUGCGCUUGCGGAUUUUUCUGUUUGCGUUUAAAAUACCCAACAAGCUUUCUGGCGCCGUUGUCGGGGAACGGUAACUGUGCUAGUUUCGAACCAAGUCGUCCGUGUAUCCUUUUUCUUUUUCUUUUAUACCACACUCACUUUAUCAUUUUUACCACACCACAUGGAUUUCACUCUAAGCAUCAAUGAGCAUGGAAUUUAUUUCAUAGUCACUUCAUUUACUCCAUGCUCAUAUGCAACAUCUUCACAAUCCAUUGGUCUCUCCAACAUCACCACAUUCGAGAUCUCCACCCCCCUCAUCCUUUCUAUUUAUAAAAACUUUAAAAGGGCGGUUGUCGAUGCAUAUGUCUAUAUUAAAUAUUGCAGAUCUCGUUGAGUUGAUCUUGAAGGUCAGCGUUGGAGGGGAAACCACUUCGCCGACAUAAAUUGAUGGUUUCCCAAGGACAAGCUUAGUGUCCUAAAACAAGCACUGAUCAGAUUGUAACAUGAGCUUUUAAUUAUUUGCAACAUUACCUUGUGUGUUGAGCAUAUAAGGAUAAUUGUAAAAAUAUUCCUUCGGUUAUUCUUGUCACUAACCUUUCUAGGAUUGGAGCAAGAAGAUCGGAUGAAUGACAAGCACAAGGUAUGUCCAACCAAUCAUCAUACAACAUUGAAUUAAAUUCAUCCAAACUUGAAUUUUGCAAAAUUCAAGCUUGGGGAGUACUUUACAUAAAAACAUUCUUUGCCAUGUUGCUAUGUUGGUUGUCCCUACCUUUGAGACAUGCUAAAUUUGUUAAAUACUAAUCACACUGCUUCAUCUCCACUUGAGUAGAUCUCUAUAAAUGCUUUCAUGCUACCUUUAUUUGCUUUAUUAUAUGUCUAGGCUUGGAGUAGUUUCAUUUAUCUCUUAAUUACGCUUAGUUUAGGGCUGAUGAUCUUAUUUCCAAGGGAUUUUAAAUUAAGCAUGGUGCUUAGGUUAAAAUGCCAUCCUGAAUCAAAUUAGACAUCGUGUCUAGGUUGAUUUUUGAGCCGAUAGUAUGCUAUAGUAGAUAUUGGAUAUUUUGUUGGACUAACCCCUACAGGAAAACUUUCACUAUCAACCUGGGAUGUCCUGAGAUACACUCACAUUGGAGACAAAGAGAGAGACACAUGAAGUUUAACAAUUUACACAAGGAAGGCAUAGCUCACAAGAGAUGAUCCAUGGAGGGUGCCAAAAACACGAUGCACAACCGCUAAGAGAGGAAAGCUUCCACAAGGUGAUACUGUACCACCACUCUUUAAGUAAGUAACAUCUUAAAGUACUUGACUAUCACUUUUAUAAGCUUCUCCUUGAUUCUAGCGUUCACAUGAAUAAAAGAGACAAACAUGUAAGGUUUACAACUCUAGAUUAACCAACCCAAUUGAUUCAAUAUGUUUAGUCCUUCCACCUUUAUGAUCUCACACUCCUAAUCAUAUGAACUAAAAUGUUGCACACUCAAUCUUUGGAAGAUAUAUAUAUAUAUAAAAACAUAAGUAUAGAUAGAUAAUCUUUCCAUUAGGUUGAGCGAUCUGAUCUAACAAAUGUUUAAAUGCUACACUCAUGAUCUUAUUAUCCAUCAACUUUGUCUUGCUCACUAUGCUUAAGGAUAGAGAAGAACAAAUACACUUUUGGUUCUGUUGGUGUUUUCCACCAACAGGGCCCAUGCACUUGAUCUCUGCCUUGUCUAUGAGCAGGUACACUUUGAGCAAAAUAUGAAGGAGUUUUACAACUCCUAGACUCCACCAAAGUGAAGAACCUAGAUCUACGAGCACAAACACACUGGAGAUACUGGACACUCAUGCAAACACUGCCCUGAGAUGCUUGAGGAUGUAACUACUGGAGUAACCCCAUUGUGGAAGUAAUUACUGACCUUCUGCCGGUCAAGAGAGACAAUCUAGGAUGCCCCGUCAUCCCGAUCUCCAUCGGCAUGGUGGACUUCCUAGAAGCACUCUGCGACUUUGGCUCCAGCGUCAACAUUAUGCCCAGGGGAAUAUUGAAGAACCUCUACGUCCGAGUUGGUACCUUGUACGCCCCAGCAGACUUCGUGGUGAUAGAGACUGGUACUGAUGAGAGGGCACCCAUCAUCCUAGGGAGGCCAUUCCUAAACACCUCAGUAACUGUCAUCUACGCUAGUGCUGCCAAGAUCAGUUUCUACAUCAAGGGAAGGAAGGAGAUGUUUUCCUUCAAGAACAAGACUAUACAAAUCUCAGAGUAAUCCCGACAUGAACCAAGGAAGAGGACCAACAGGAGGAACAAGAACAAGCAAAUGUGUACCGAGUCAGCUAAGAUGGUCACUGCAGCUCAAGGAGGUCAAGAUCGUCAACUCAAGUCACCUUUCUUGAUCAAGAAGGACGACCCUGGUGUCCCAAGCAUCAAGUGCACAAUCAACGGAUAUUCUUUUCAGAAGACACUCUAUGACACUGGAUCUGACGUCAACAUAAUGGCCGCAGUUACUUAUCAGCUCCUGCAUGGAACCAUGCCCCUACAACCAACAUACAUUCAGCUCCGGAUGAUUUUCAGGUUAUUGACAUGGGAGAAGACGAGUACAAUCCACUCAUCAUCAUUGGGAGACCGUUCCUCAGCACCGUUAAAGCAAUCAUCUACAUUGGAAUCGGAGAAGUCCACAUGCACUUCCCCUCUGAGAAGGUACGCCACUAUUUUACUGACUCUAACUAUAUAGUGAAGACUCUAAGCAGGUCAGAACAAGAAGAAGACAACGCAACCGUAACCAGAAGAGGCAAAUCAUCAAGGACGGAUGGGCAGACUAUGAAGGAGAAGUAGUACAGUCUGAAGACAUACAACUUGAACAAAAUUGUCUUGAGGAGACCGUAGCACCGAGUCAGGUGUGUAGAGAGAAGAUAGUUAUACAUGAAGAGCAGGUGCCGCCAGAACCACCGACUACGCCAUCCAACGAAUCCCAGGACGACUGAGAAAACGGAGAGUCCCGUUCGAAGGACGUAAAAACACUGAACGCCUUACCAAAAGGUAAACUUGGUAGUUAUCUUUUUCCUUUCAAUUAUUUAAAAUAGUUUUGUUAGUUAAUCAGGUUCAUAUCAUCUUGAAAAGAAAAUAAAAAUGUUAAAAAUAGUAAGCCCCAUGUGAGUAUGCUCAUGGCAUAAAACCCAUAAGUACAUUCACUGUGGUGGCAUAAAAAAAAUGAAAUAAAUAUAUUCCUAUCCUAUAAAAAUAAAAUUAUAAAAAUAAAUUUAUGAUCCUACUAAAGAGAGUAACAUUUAUUGAGGAGGCUCAACAUGAUAAAGGCUAGGUAUUUAUGCUAACACUUAACCAGUUCCACAAAGCUUUGUUGUCUAUUUGAGCUCCACAGAAUUCAAGGAUCAAAGAAGACUAGCAGACGGAGGACAUCCUAAUCGCUGUCAGGGCGCUGCUGACAUUCAAAUACACCUCCACCACUUGCUAGCUACAUUAGAAGAAACUACGUCAAAAUCCAUCUUCGGGGAGAGCACCCCCAUUUAUCCAGCUAAGUGUUCUACUCACGUUUAUAUUUUACUCAAAUAAUAAAAAGAUGCAUAAUCAUAAAAACUCAAAUAAAGAUUUUGUGCUUAUAUAUAUCUUUGCUUAGUUUGCUAAAUAAAUAAAUAAAUAAAGUUUGCUAUGAACCCUCAUGAUAAGCUCUCACAUGGAAACGAUGAAUAGUUGCUCUGCCAUGACUAGUUCUAAAAAUUGAAAUCUCUCUCAAGUUUAGGCAUGACUGUUAUUAAUUAAGAUUUGCUCUAAACCUGAACUUGUAGGAAGAGUACUUGAUCUAAAGUCUAAGUUGUUAAUGGAUAUGAUAUGGGAAGGUUGAGCUGUUGUUUAUCUGUUCCUAGAGAUGCUAGAAUUCUGGAGAAUUUUAUCUUUGAAAAUCUUUAAAAUGUUGCAUGAUGAGUUCCUGUAUGAUGAGAGUUUAAAUUCCUACCACAGCCAUAUAUACAUGCUUGCUAGACUAUGAGCCAUACAUUUACUUUUUACUGCUUAUGAGCAUUGAGUGUGGUCAAGCUGUGUAGACCCUUAGGAGCUUGUCAUGUGGUUAAAUCAAGAUUCACUUGCACGUUCACUCAUACAUGCUGCUUCUACUCUGGAAGUACGCAUCCACAUACAUCCACUCAUUUCCAUCUCCAAAACCAUCCAAAAAUAUUCUACUCCUAAUCUGGGAGAGAAUAGCUAAAAACAUUCUCCUAUUUCUGUUUUCCCCUGUGAAAUAAAUGCUCAAGUUAUCUUGGUUACUACCACUUGCUAUAUUAUUUCAGGAGAUGAGUGCUCUAAAAAAAGAAAGAAAAAAAAGAGAUAUGAGGAAAUAAAAAGGGGCAAGUGCCCGGAACCUCGAAAGAAAAGAAAAAGUGAGACGAGAGGUAAAAAUGGACAAGUGUCCGACAGUAGAAUUAGGGGUACAAAAUACCCACCUGAGAGAAAAGAAAAAGAAAAUAUAGAGCAUCUCAUGCUCCUCAAAAAGUUUCAAAAGAGCAAGAAAGGUAUGUAUCCCCUCAAAAGAGCACAAGUAGAAUUAGACUUUCACCAUUGUUAUCACCAUCAUUACCAUGCACCAUUCAUUCGCCACACAUGCACAUCUUGAUUUGACUUAUUGACUUGUUCUUCUGGAUCCAUGGUUUGACUAUGCAAUAAAUGUCUUGUAAGUAUGUAUUAGCUGUCUCCCACCUAUGAGCUCCAGAUAUCAAAACCUUAUUAGAGUAGGGUGAGAGAGAAGGCAAUGCCACUAUGCCUCAUACCAAAAAUACCACAUACUUUGAGAGAAGGCAUACACCAUUACUGCCUUGGUAAGGAUCCAGAAAUACCACAAAAGAGAGACUAGAGAGAGUCAUACAAGGAAUCUCUGAGUUUUAUUUGAAAAUCUGCAAAAACUCCAGAGCUAUAGUUAAUCGAAGAACAAGAGACAUGGUGCUUGACUAGACCGUUCUAUCUUUUAACUACUCAAGACAGAAGUGACGGUUACAAGUCCCAUGGUGAAAGGUAAAUGAGUAAGUUUUAAGUCUUAAUAGUUUACUCUAACCAGAGAUGAGAUGUUGUUUAAACACAUGUGUAUCUUUAAGUUAUGAAACACUGCAGAAACUCUUGAGUCCAUCUUUGCUCAGGGACGUGCAAAGGUUAAGCUUGGGGGAGCUUGUUGACGGUCCUUAAUGCUCACAUUUAACCAUCAACUAAUCAUGGAAAAGGAUCUAAAUGCAACCAACACCUAGACUUAGGGUUUUAUCUGACAGAAUUCCACAAGUUUUGGUGUUUGUCCAUUUCUGCAGGGGGUUAUCAGGAAAUAUAAAAGAAAGACCCACACGUCGGGUUUACAUAGAGAUAUUAACGUGCCGCGCAAUUUUCUAUCAUCUAGAAGACUCCAGAAGCCACGGGACCGAAGCGAAGGCCGAGAGGACACAGGGACAGGGCGCCCACCCUCCUUUCCUGGGCACCCGCCCUCAGCCAGAGUCCAAUCUCGACUCUCUUUCGGGAUAUUGCUCCACCGACCUAAAGGAUCAACAAUAACCGUUCAAUCAAUGUCGGUUUGAUCCGACGGCCCAGAUUCACUUGAAGAGACUAUAAAACCAGACCCCCUAGCCCCUGGAGAUCAUACCUCUUCUACAGAAUCAAAGCUAGGGUUUCAAUUCUUCAUCCAAGUAGAGAGGAUCCCUCUAGUUCUUCUAGUUCUACCUCUAGUUCAUCUAGAUCUAGUUCUAGUUCAUCUAGUUCUAGUUCUAGUUCCUCUAGUUCUAGUUCUAGUUCUAGUUAGUUCUAGUUGUAAUCUAGAAAAUAGGGAGAGAGAAGAGGAGAGCGGAGGAGGAACCGGAUCUGUCGGAUCUUCCUCAACAUUAUACUUUUGCAGCAUCUGGUUCGUUCUUCAUCGUUCUCCAGGUUCUUUAAUUCAUAAUUCCUGAGUUCUUUAAUUACUUUUAUUUACAUUCAAGUUAUUUAUUGGAUUCUCGCUUGCAUCAAGUGCUCUAGUCUUUAUAACGCUAGAGUAGUAAUUAAUAGAUUAGACGUGGUGUUUAGUCUUGCAAUUAUCUGGAAUUGCACCCAAUCCUACGGAUUGUUGUGGUAGCCCUAGGGUAGUGACAACCCUAACGGUCGACGUAUUCCACCACGUUCGGAUCGGUGUUUGUAGGACCGUAGUCAGACCUUCCUAGCCCCCUUCUCAUCUCUUUCUGUGGUUAGUGCUCUGAUGUCCCGAUAUAGAUAAUCUUGAAGUAAUUCUUGAUUCUUAGAUCAACUAGAGAACUCUCAGGAAACUUCCUCUCUUCCCACCAAAAAUAAUUAUAUAGUUAUCCUUGGGCGAUCUUGAUUCUUAAUUAGUACACUCACGUUCUCUGUGGAAAAUCGAUACUCUGGAAUACUCCCGGGUGAAAGCUACAUCGGUAUCCGUGCGCUUGCGGAUUUUUCUGUUUGCGUUUAAAAUACCCAACAGUUCCAAAAACCGAUGCCUGGCUAUGAAUUCUUUCAAAAUUCAAAAUUGAGUGGUUCAAACUUUUCCAAAAGAAAAGUUGACCAUUAAACCAAAUGUAGAACUUGAUGAGUGUAACAAACUUUGUAUUCAUGACUUUUCCAUUUGGGACCAUCUAGGGUUCGGUCAAAGUGUGUGUUUCUAAAAACCAAUGCUUUGACUUUGGUCAAACUUGGUCAAAUGACCCAUUUGGUGACUUCAAAUGAAAAAAAUUUGAAUACAAAGUUGUUACAGAUCAUCAAGAUCUACAUUUGAUAUAUUGUCCAUUUUUCCAUUUGGAUAAAUUUGAGCCAAUCCUAAGCACAUUUGUUCAAAAUCCAAGACGGGUUUUGGUCACACUUGGCCAAAUGACAAACAAAAAUACUUAAAAUGAAAAAAUUUUGAAUACCAAGUUGUUAGAUAUCAUCAAGAUCUAUUCUUUUUAUAUAGACAAUUUUUCCAUUUGAGAAAGUUUAAGUUGACAAUACCCACCAAAUUUUGAAUCUCACACAAACUAUAUGAAACUAUAUGUGUCAAUGGUGGAUUUUCAACUACACCUUCCCAACACUUUGUCAAAUGCAAAAAUGGUCUAUAUAUUAAAUGUAGAUUUUGAUGAGUGGAACAAUAUUGGUAUUCAUGACUUUUCCAUUCGAGACCAUCUAGGGUUCCAAAAACUGAUGCCUGGCUAUGAGUUCUUUCAAAAUUCAAAAUUGAGUGGUUCAAAUUUUUCCAAAAGAAAAGUUGACCAUUAGACCAAAUGUAGAACUUGAUGAGUGUAACAAACUUUGUAUUCAUGACUUUUCCAUUUGGGACCAUCUUGGGUUCGGUCAAUGUGUGUGUCAAACUUGGUCAAAUGACCCAUUUGAUGACUUCAAAUGAAAAAAAUUUGAAUACAAAGUUGUUAGAGAUCAUCAACAUCUACAUUUGAUAUAUUGUCAAUUUUUCCAUUUGGAUAAAUUUGAGCCAAUCCUAAGCACAUUUGUUCCAAAUCCAAGACGGGUUUUGGUCACACUUGGUCAAAUGACAAACAAAAAUACUUAAAAUGAAAAAACUUUGAAUACCAAGUUGUUAGAUAUCAUCAAGAUCUAAAUUUUUUAUAUAGACAAUUUUUCCAUUUGAGAAAGUUUGAAUUGACAAUACCUACCAAAUCUUGUGUCUCACACAAACUAUAUGAAACUAUAUGUGUCAAUUGUGGAUUUUCAACUACACCUUCCCAACACUUUGUCAAAUGCAAAAAUGGUCUAUAUAUUAAAUGUAGAUUUUGAUGAGUGGAACAAUAUUGGUAUUCAUGACUUUUCCAUUCGAGACCAUCUAGGGUUUCAAAAACCGAUGCCUGGCUAUGAAUUCUUUCAAAAUUAAAAAUUGAGUGGUUCAAACUUUUCCAAAAGAAAAGUUGACCAUUAGACCAAAUGUAGAACUUGAUGAGUGUAACAAACUUUGUAUUGAUGACUUUUCAAUUUGGGACCAUCUAGGGAUCGGUCAAAGUGUGUGUUUCUAAAAACCAAUGCUUUGACUUUGGUCAAACUUGGUCAAAUGACCCAUUUGAUGACUUCAAAUGAAAAAAUUUGAAUACAAAGUUGUUAGAGAUCAUCAAGAUCUACAUUUGAUAUAUUGUCCAUUUUUUCAUUUGGAUAAAUUUGAGCCAAUCCUAAGCACAUUUGUUCAAAAUCCAAGACGGGUUUUGGUCACACUUGGCCAAAUGACAAACAAAAAUACUUAAAAUGAAAAAAUUUUGAAUACCAAAUUGUUAGAUAUCACCAAUAUCUAUUCUUUUUAUAUAGACAAUUUUUCCAUUUGAGAAAGUUUAAGUUGACAAUACCCACCAAAUUUUGAAUCUCACACAAACUAUAUGAAACUAUAUGUGUCAAUUGCGGAUUUUCAACUACACCUUCCCAACACUUUGUCAAAUGCAAAAAUGGUCUAUAUAUUAAAUGUAGAUUUUGAUGAGUGGAACAAUAUUGGUAUUCAUGACUUUUCUAUUCGAGACCAUCUAGGGUUCCAAAAACCGAUGCCUGACUAUGAAUUCUUUCAAAAUUCAAAAUUGAGUGGUUCAAAUUUUUCCAAAAGAAAAGUUGACCAUUAGACCAAAUGUAGAACUUGAUGAGUGUAACAAACUUUGUAUUCAUGACUUUUCCAUUUGGGACCAUCUAGGGUUCGGUCAAUGUGUGUGUCAAACUUGGUCAAAUGACCCAUUUGAUGACUUCAAAUGAAAAAAAUUUAAAUACAAAGUUGUUAGAGAUCAUCAAGAUCUACAUUUGAUAUAUUUUCUAUUUUUCCAUUUGGAUAAAUUUGAGCCAAUCCUAAGCACGUUUGUUCAAAAGAAAUCUUUAAAAAUAAUCCGAUGUAAUGGUGAAUAUCACGUAUAUCACGAUUUUGGAGAUAUAUGAUGAUAAAUGAACAAAAUUUACGUUUAAAUAAUGCACACACAAAUUUUCUAUCAAAAACAAUGUUGACGAUCCUUAAUGCUCACAUUUAACCUUCAACUAAUCAUGGAAAAGGACCUAUACGCAACCAACAUCCAAAAUUCGGUUUCAUCUGACAGAAUUCCAGGAGUUUUGGUGUUUGUCUAUUUCUGCAGGGGGUUAUCAGGAAACAUGGAAGAAAGGCGCACACGUCGAGUUUACAUAGAGAUAUUAAUAUGUGCGCCAAUUUUCUAUCAUCUACAAGACUCCAGAAGCCACGGGAACAAGCGGGAGGCCGAGCGGGCCCAGGGGCUGGGCGCCCGCCCUCCCCCCUUGGGCGCCCGCCCUGCCCUGGUGACCAAUCAGGGCAGGUCUCGCGGAUCGUGCUCCACCGCCUUUGAGGAUCAAGGAAAACCAUGCGAUUAAGGUCGGUUUGAUCCGACGGCCCACGUUCAUUUGGAAGGGCUAUAUAAGCAGGCCCCUAGCCCCUGGAGAACAUACCUCUUCUACAGAAUCAAAGCUAGGGUUUCAAUAAUUCAUCCAAGUAGAGAGGAUCCCUCUAGUUCAUCUAGUUCUAGUUCUAGUUCAUCUAGUUCUAGUUCUAGUUAGUUCUAGUUGUAAUCUAGAAAAUAGGGAGAGAGAAGAGGAGAGCGGAGGACGAGCCGGAUCUGUCGGAUCUUCCUCAACAUUGUACUUUUGCAGCAACUGGUUCGUUCUUCAUCAUUCUCCAAGUUCUUCAAUUCAUAAUUCCUGAGUUCUUUAAUUACUUUUAUUUACAUUCAAGUUAUUUAUUGGAUUCCCUCUUGCAUCAAGUGCUCUAGUCUUUGAAACGCUAGAGUAGUAAUUACUAGAUUAGACGUGGUGUUUAGUCUUGCAAUUACCUAGAAUUACACCCAAUCCUGCGGAUUGUUGUGGUAGCCCUAGGGCAGUGACAGCCCUAACGGUCGACGUAUUCUACCUCGUUCGGAUCGGUGUUUGUAGGACCGUAGUCAGAGCUUCCUAACCCCCUUCUCAUCUCUUUCUAUGGUUAGUGUUCUGAUAUCCCGAAAUAAAUAAUCUUUGAAGUAAUUCUUGAUUCUUAGAUCAACUAGAGAACUCUGAGGAAACUUCCUCUCUUCCCACCAAAAAUAAUUAUAUAGUUAUCCUUGGGUGAUCUUGAAUCUCAAUUAGUACACUCACGUUUCAUGUGGAUAAUCGAUACUCUAGAAUACUCCCGGGUGAAAGCUACAUCGGUAUCCGUGCGCUUGCGGAUUUUUUCUGUUUGCGUUUAAAAUACCCAACAAGCUUUCUAGCGCCGUUGCCGGGGAGCGGUAGCUAUGCUAGUUUCGAACCAAGUCGUCCGUGUAUCCUUUUUCUUUUCCUUUUUUACACCACUCACCUUACCAUUUUCACCAUACCACAUGGAUUUCACUCCAAACAUUAUGAGCAUAGAAUUUAUUUCAUAGCCACUUCAUUUACUCCAUGCUCAUAACCAACAAAUUCGCAAUCUAUUGGUCUCUCCAACAUCACCACAUUUGAGAUCUCCAACCCCCUCUUCCUUUCUAUUGAUAAAAACUUUAAAAGGGCGGUUGUCGAUGCAUAUGUCUAUAAUAAAUAUCGCAGAUCGCGUUGAGUUGAUAUAGGUCAGCGUUGGAGGGGAAACCACUUCACCGACAUAAAUUGAUGGUUUCCCAAGGACAAGCUUAGUGUCCUAAAAUAAGCACUCAUCAGAUCGUAACAUGAGCUUUUAAUUAUUUGCAACAUUACCUUGUGUAUUGUGCAUAUAAGGAUAAUUAUAAAACAUUUCUUCGGGUAUUCUUGUCACUAACCUUUCUAGGAUUGGAGCAAGAUGAUCGGAUGAAUGACAAGCACAAGGUAUGUCCAACCAAUCAUCAUACAACAUUGAAUUAAAUUCAUCCAAACUUGAAUUUUGCAAAAUUCAAGCUUGGGGGAGUACUUUACAUAAAAACAUCCUUUGCCAUGUUGCUAUGUUGGUUAUCCCUACCUUUGAGACAUGCUCAAUUUGUUAAAUACUAAUCACACUACUUCAUCUCCACUUGAGUAGAUCUCUAUAAAUGCUCUCAUGCUACCUUUAUUUGCUUUAGUAUAUGUUGUUGACACUAGCUAACACCACUUAGAUACUAGGUUGUCAUUCCUAGCAUGGCGCCAGAGUGUACAAAGGUAUUUAUAAAUGUAAAGGCUCUCUAGAAAAUAAUCUAUUCUAUCCGCAAGCGCAUAGAUAAAACACCUCAUUGUAGCAUUUCACCAGGAUAAGUAUUCCAGGUAUCGUUAUUUAUAAUUUUGCUUAGGGGAUCUUAAGAAGAUGGAAUUAAAUCAAAGGGGCAAAAUCUAUCAAGGCAUAGACUAAAGAUAAACUUGCAAGAACAUGAUUACUAAUGAGAAACUCGUCACACAGUCACAUACUUUAGCAGGGGGUAAACCAUAAAGAUAAUGAUAAUAAAGUAUAAGUUCAUGGGAUAAAGAGCACAGCGAUUAGAAAAUAGACUACUCCUCAUAUAUGUAGGUGAUGUCGGAUUAGCUAGAGAAUGGAUUCUAAGUCAUCCACUAACUACUAAGUCAUAAUCUACUCUAGUUAUCUACAAGAUCAUAUAUAGCACAAAAGACUCUUCAUUCAUGUAUAAGGAACAUUGAUAAAGUAAAUCAGAACAUCGCAUGACUUACUCCACAAUACCGGUUCUGCCUGUCCUAUCAACGGAGGGUGGACUAUAUAAGAAUCAACGAAGCUGUCACUAUCGUGAACUACCACACGACUCGGCCAAUAGGAUACAUUUGCAGAUAAAUAACAUCUAAGCACCACGCUCACAUGUGAUCUAUCACCUAACUCCCUCGCGACAAGAGCUAAGCGCUUUGCAAACUUAUACAUAAACUCAUUAUCAAUUAGAACUAUAUCAAAUAUAGAACUAGAGCAAACUAAGAACAUAAUAAUUAGAGACAUAAUGCAAUUAGAACAAUAGAAUUAGAGAAAGAUAUGAAUAAUACCAAUCUUUAUUACCGAAGAUCCGAAUCCAGAGCGUAGUGCUCUACUUCUCUAAUUGCUAUCUAAUCAAACCUCUAAACUUGAAGGAUUAGGGAGUAGCUAAUUCUAAUUCUCUAUGGGAGAGAAGCUCUAAACCCUAACUUUGAUGGCUACCUCUGAAUAAUGAUUUCUCCUCUUCUCCUCCAUGGGCCAGGGGGUCUGGUUUUAUAGUCCCCUCAAGUGAACGUGAGCCAUUGGAUCAAACCGACAUAGAUUGUAUGGUUUAGAUUGAUCCUUUAGGUCGGUGGAGUGUAGUCCCGAAGCAGAGUCCUGAUUGGCUUCCUGGCCAGGGCGGGCGCCCAAGGGGGGUGGGCGGGCGCCCAGCCCCCGAGCCCGAAUUGCUUCCCGUUCGUUCCCGUGGCUUCUGGACCCUUCUAGAUCAAGGAAAAUUGCGCGGCACGUAAUUAUCUCAUUGUAAACAUGACAUGUGGGCCUUCUCUCCCUAUUUUCUGAUAAACCCCUGCAGAAAUAGAUAAACACCAAAGCUCGUGGAAUUCUGUCAGAUAAAACCCUAAUUCUAGAUGUUUGUUUCAUAUUGAUCCUUUUUCAUGUUUAUUUGAUUAUUAAUUUUAGUACUUAAGGACCGUCAACAAACUCCCCCAAGCUUACCCUUUGCUCGUCCCUGAGCAAAUAGCUAAACUCAGACGGAUCAGAAGUUGCUUCGAUGUUUUCUUUCCUGACAGGCACACAUGCUUUUACAUAAAAAUUCUUCCAGAUUAGAGUGAAGUGUUAUGAAGUUUAGUACCUGCACUUAAGUCUUAAGUAAUCGAAAGACAAAAUAGUUAAGUCAAGCACUAUCCCUCCUGUCUAUACUUCACCUUUGUUCUAGAGUUUUUCAUAAGUUUUCAAAAUAAAACUCAGAGUUCCUAGCAAUGAUUCUCUCAAGUCUCUCUAUAUGUGGUAUUUGUGGAUCCUUACCAUAAUGUCACUUACCUAUAGCUAAUGAAAUAUUUAAGUGGAGCUCAUAGGAGUGAAAAACAGCUCAUACAUAUGUUGUCUAAUCGAGCCAUGGAUCCAAAGGAACUCAGCAUAUAAUUAAAUCAAGAUGUGCAUGUGUGAUGGAGUAAAUGAUAGUGAUGGUGAAAAUGCAUAAGUGAUAAUAAAACUUAGUUCUCAUUGCUCCUCAUAUUGCUAUCUCUCCUCCUCUUUGAUCUUUGCUUUGGGAGAACAUGGGCUAUCUUUUUUUUUCAGGUGGGUAAUAGAUACCCCUAAUUCUACAGUCGGACACUUGUCCAUUUUUUCCGCUCGUCUCACUCUUUUUGUUUCUUUUUCGAGGUUCCCGGGCACUUGCCCCUUUUUAUUUCCUCGUAUAUAUUUUUGCAUAACCCAUGCCUCUUCUACAUUGAAUCUUUUUAGAGAGAGAGUAUAACAAUAUUCGGGACAGUGAGUGAUAAUAUUUUUAGCAAUUUUAAUGAUUGAUGAUGAAUGCUGUGGUAGAUGCGUGCAAGUGAAUAUCUUAAUUUAACCACAUGAAAAGCUCCUAAGGGUCAACACAGCUCGAUCAAACUCAAUGUAAAUAUAGUAAAAGAUGUUAUAGCAAGUAUGGCUGUGGUAGGUAGUUUGUUAUGCUAGGAACUCAUCAUGUGCUUCGUAAGUUUUCAAAAUAAAUCUCCAGAACUUAGUGUAGUAGGAACAAGAUAAACAGUAGCUCAACUUUAUAUCAUGUCUUUCUCUUACCUAGACUUUAGUUUUAUGCUUUCCAAAGAUAGUAAUUUUAGUUUUAGUAAUUCCUGGAAGAAUUCUAAUAUAAAAGCUAGGUACUUGUAAGUAAGCAAACAGAGCAACUGUUCAUCAUUUCCAUCAUACAUAUUUUUGGUCUUUUUAUUUUUUUAGAGAUUAAACUUAGCAGAAAAAUAAAGCACACUUAUCUACACACUCUUUUUAUUUUGUUUUCAUGUUUAUAGAAUACAGUAAAUUAAGAAAAUAUUUAUUUGGUUUUCUAAUUUUUUUCUUUUAAGAUAAAUUAAAUACUAAGACAGAAUAGAAUAAAUAAGAACAGCAAAUAAAAACUUACUUGAUAAAUUUGGGAGGAACUCCCCCAAGCUGGAUGUUGACGUCGGUCUUACCCGAUGUUCCAGAACCGCAUCAUGGUUGUGAUGUUAUCGUUCAUUGUUGUUGUAUCUUGUCUUAGCUCUUCUACUGCAGCGGCAUGGUCCUGGUUCCAUUUUUGUUGCUCUUCCAAGAGUCUUCCAUGUUCUGCUUGCGUAUUCUGGAUGUCGAGGAGGGUGUUGUCGGUACGAGUGAAGAAAGCACCGGCCUCUUGAUAGUAGUCAUUCGUGAAGGCGUAGGAGGCGUCGGAGUAUCGUCCUGCAUCAAAUUGGGGUGGAGGUCUGGAUCCUGAAGCUCCAUAUGGAUCAGUGGAGUACCUGCCCGUAUGAAAAGGCGGGUUUGUCCACUGGUGAUCUUGGCUCUCCGGCCAUGUCUCCUCUGUUGGCUCUUGUGGUUGCGCAUGACGAGCCCAUGGGUCUCGAAGGACUCGUGGAUUAUAAUCGCAAUAAUGCAGGUGCGCUGCUUCUUCUGGUCCAGGGUCAGCUCCAUACCAAGUGCGUUCUCUGUGAGUGGUUAUCCUUUCAGAUGCCACUCGCUGUGGAGUUCUCUGGUUCACUGGUGUUGCUGCAAUCUCAAUCAAAAAGUUUUGCACAAUGUAGAGGCCAAGGUUCGGGUUAGAAAACCGAAUCUUGCCUUUAUCAUCAUACAGCAUAUACAUUAUAUUCCCCUCUUUCUUUAACAUCCGAGCUUGUCUAAAUGUGUCAUAGCCAUGAUAAAUUCUUAAUUCUUCUAUGAAGUCCAACGAUGAGUUUUCUAGUAAGUGAAGAUUAGUGGCUAGACGAGUGAUAAGUGAAGUACAUCCUACUGGUCCCUGAAGACUAGGUAUACUAAGCCAAUGUGAAACUAAUAGUGUAACAGGUGAAGUAGGUACUUUACUAAUAGCAGCAUAUAAAAGUUGUAAAUCUCCUACUCUUACUUUCCUAAUAUCAUCACGAUAGAAAAGAUUGUACCCAAGCCAUUUGUGAAACAUCCUAAGAGUGGGGUGUUCCAUGUCACUGGUUCGGGCUUGACUAUACAAAUUAUCUCUAGAUAUUUCUCUCCAAAACUGGUGUCUCUCAAAAUUGGGUAAAUCGGAGUCAAUAUUUAGGAUGCAUCUUGAAGAGAAACCAAGAUGGUCGCUUAGCUCUCUCCAAGACAACAUAAUUUCUUGUUUGAACAUCCGAAAAACAAUUCCCCCCUCAUAGUAUUGUAAAGUGCAAAGAAAUUCGAGGGUGAGAAGACGAGACCCCAGCUCAGUUAUAUUCCAAAAAUUUGUCCAACCCAUCAUUUGAAAAAUUAAGUCAAAUUCAGUGUCCAUACCUAUUUCUCGUAGUAGGAUUGGAUCGAUAGUAGGGGUGUGAAUGAAAUCUUUAUUCUUCAAUUGCUAAUAUACUUCCUUUUCUCUUCUGGUCUUCAGUCCUAGGUCUCCUAUCUUGAGAAGGACCUUAACUUGCUGACCUGAUGAAGAUGAUGGAGCUUGUGUGGGUGUCGGGUCGACGCUCAUCUCUGAUGGUUGUGAGGAGUGUCGGGAUGAACUCCUUGUACCAAUGUUCUUGAUAGCCUUCCCUGCAUUCUUUACCUUCUUAAACAUCCUGCAAACAAAAGUUGGCAAAAACACAACUGGUGGAAAAUGUGAGAUAAAAUGUUAGUGGUCAGCUGUCCGGAGUGUUAGUAGUCCAGGGGUUAAUCGUUCAAGACAAGUUUCUAUUUUGGUAGAGCCUCCUCCUAAACAACUUUUACUUCCGCUUGGACAGCGGGAUCACUAUUUGCUAGGUGACAAUCACUCUCUCAAAAGAACUCCAACCUUCCCUUCCACUCUCCUCUUUCUCUCUACUCUCUUCUCUUCACUACAAAAGCUCCUUCUCGGGAAACUGAGAUUUGUGUGGUUUUUUGAAGUGUUUGUGUGAAGAGAAGGGGAGCUGGAGGUGGCCUUUUAUAGGCUAAGCAGGGGACAGGGCGGGAGCCCAAGGUAGGUGGGCGGGCGCCCAACCCUGGUGUCCAUCCUGGGUGUGCCUCCUCCACAUGCUUCCUUGCUUUGAUCUCACGCAGAAUAAUAUUGUGUUGGUAGUGGUUGGACAGUGGAAAGAUGUCAAGUGAGUGGAAACAUAUUGGUGGAUGAAAUUAUGUGAUGGGAUGUAUGUGAGGUGAAGUGUAUGACAUGAGGGACCCAAAGAGUGUGGGUCAUGCUUCUAGAAGAUUAAUAUAAAUAAAUAUAAUGCAGGAAAAUCUAUGAGAAUUGAAACUUAAUGAAAAUGAUAUUGGAAAAUAUUUUUGUGCCUCCACAAUAAUUAAUAAGUAUGGGUUGUUACACACCACGAAUAUUAUUUAUAUGGGGCUUUUUGAUUUUUAUAAUUAUGCUAUGAAUGUAUGACUAAUGCAAGAAUUAAUUAUGCAAGAAGUUAAAUAUGAGAAAAUUAAUAAUGCAGGUAAAUACCGAUUUACCUUCCGGUGAGGGUUUGGGAUUUUUAGGUCCCCCAAGCUGGACCUCCAAUUCUUUUAAUCUUCUGAGUUACCUUCCUCCGGAGAUGGUGUCUCCAGUGGUUCUUCAUGAACUUCUUUCACUGUAGAGUCUCUUUCUGGUCUGGGUUUGAAUGUGAAGUGUUCUUCUUGACCGUUUAUGUUGAACUUGAUUUCUCCCUUCCUGACAUCAAUGUGGGCAUUGGCAGUGCUCAGAAAUGGUCUUCCAAGGAUGAUGGACACUUUUGAGUCAGGACUCAUGUCCAGUACUACGAAGUCUACUGGUACCAGGAAAUCUCUGAUCUUGACUGGAAUGUUCUCGGCGAUGCCCAACGGGUGUUGAACCGAUUGAUCCGCUAGUUGUAGACACAUUGAUGUUGGUUCUAAAGUUUCAUGCUCAAGCUUUUUGUAGACUGAUGCUGGCAUCACACUGACACUUGCUCCGAGAUCACAAAGUGCAUUAUUGAAGUGUUGGUUUCCGAUCGGGCAAUCAAUAGUGGGGCAUCCUGGAUCUUCCUUCUUCUUUGGUGGUUUGUUGAGGAUGGCCGCACUACAUUCUUCUUUCAGCUUGAUAACCUCAGUGGUGGGCAGUGGUCUCUUCUUGUUAAGAAUAUCUCUGAUGUACUUUGCGUAUGUAGGUACCUAUAUGGCAUCGAGCAGAGGUAUGUUGACAUAUAAUUUCUGAAUGACCUCUACAAACUUACCAAACUGCUCAUCCGACUGCAGUCCUCUGUUUCUUCUGGGAAAUGGCAAAUAGUUGGUGUCGUAAAAAUCUUUCCUCAUUUCUCUAGUUCUUGAUGGUUGUAGCAGAUCUUCUGCUUCAACUGGGCUUUCUUCUUCUAUCACUGCUGGUUGCACUGGUGCUGAUGAUCUUUGUUUCUCUUUUGGGUAUGGUGGAUCUCUGGUAGCUUUACAUCCUCUAGUAGUUAUAUUCUUUACCUGCUCAAGGUUAGUAGCAACAGGCAGUGCAGCAGCUAUCUUUAUUAAUUUAAGCUCUACCCUUUUAUUAAGAGUGUUUUGCUCAUCAAAGGUAGUUAGUAGAAAAUCCAUUUUAUUGUGUAUAUCUUUUAGAGAUGAUUCAUUUGUAUCUAGCCUUUGUUUAACUUCAUUAUUAAUUUUGGUUUGUUGAGCAAUUAUCUCUUUUAAGGAAAGUUGCUUGAUAGUAUUACUUGAAUUCAUACCUUUGCUAUUGGGUUGACUCGAAGUUGGUUGAUAUUCUUCUUUGAACUUGGCCCUCUGGUCAAUCCAAUGGAGCAAAUUUUCCAUCUUAGUUGAUAAUGCUUUUACUUCUUCUGGUAUUUCUUCAGUUUGAUGACAAUGUUGAGCUUUAUCUUGGAACCAGCUUUGGUUUUCUGCUAUCUUAUCCAAAAGUAUCUCUGCUUUUCCAGUUGUAAGCUCCAAGAAUGAUCCUUUAGCAGAUGCAUCUAUGCACUCACGAGCCUUCUGGGUUAAUCCAUGGUAGAAGGUCUGCAUAAGUAACCAUGUGGCCAUUCCAUGGUGAGGACAAUCUGAUAUGUAUCCUUGAAAACGCUCCCAUGCUUCUGAAAUGGCUUCUGUCUUCUGCUGUUGGAAACUGACAAUAUUUCCUCUUAAGGCAGUUGUUUUGCCUAUAGGGAAAAACUUUGAUAGAAAGGUAUCUGACAAGUUCGUCCAGUUGUUGAUGUUAUCUUGAUGAGUGUAGAACCACUUCCUCGCUUUUCCUUCUAGUGAGAAUGGAAAAAGGCGAAGCAGUAUGACGUCUUUGUCAACUCCGUUGAUGUGGAUUGUGCUUCCAAUCUCUAGGAAAUUCUGCAAGUGUGCACUGGCAUCUUCAUGUGCCUUUCCACUGAAUUGUGUAGCUUGUACCAAAUUGAUGAGGCUUGACUUGAGCUCAAACUCAGGUAUUCCUUCUUCUACUGCAAAUCUUGGACCGGUUGGAAUGUUGUCAAGACUUGGAGCAGAGAAUUCUUGCAAGGUCUUGUGUGCCAUAGCUUCAGCAAUUGGUAGCUAGCUUCUUCUUCUCUUGAUUGCUUUGGUUCUGAUGAUGUAGAGUUGAAUGUACCCAAAGUCAAUCCUGUUAUACCCUGUAUAAAAAUAUAAACAUAGAAAAACAACAGGGUGAACCUGCCAAAGCAGCGGUGCCUUGUUAUGAUUUCUCACUUAGUAGCUGUUUUAUACAAUUAUUUCUCUAUAGUCUAGUCUAAUAUUUUAUAUGAAUAAUCCUUGAUUGAUUUUCUGGUUGUUCCCUUUUAUGACUUAUUCCUGAGACUCAUAUAAUUAUCCUAUAAUUCCUAACAUGUCCUAUAGAUCCUAUAGAUCCCCGGCAACGGCGCCAGAAAUGCUUGUUGACACUAGCCAACACCACUUAGAUACUAGGUUGUCAUCCCUAGCAUGGCGCCAGAGUGUACAAAGGUAUUUAUAAAUGUAAAGGCUCUCUAGAAAAUAAUCUAUUCUAUCCGCAAGCGCACAGAUAAAACACCUCAUUGUAGCAUUUCACCAGGAUAAGUAUUCCAGGUAUCGUUAUUUAUAAUUUUGCUUAGGGGAUCUUAAGAAGAUGGAAUUAAAUCAAAGGGGCAAAAUCUAUCAAGGCAUAGACUAAAGAUAAACUUGCAAGAACAUGAUUACUAAUGAGAAACUCGUCACACAGUCACAUACUUUAGCAGGGGGUAAACCAUAAAGAUAAUGAUAAUAAAGUAUAAGUUCAUGGGAUAAAGAGCACAACGAUUAGAAAAUAGACUACUCCUCAUAUAUGUAGGUGAUGUCGGAUUAGCUAGAGAAUGGAUUCUAAGUCAUCUACUAACUACUAAGUCAUAAUCUACUCUAGUUAUCUACAAGAUCAUAUAUAGCAUAAAAGACUCUUCAUUCAUGUAUAAGGAACAUUGAUAAAGUAAAUCAGAACAUCGCAUGACUUACUCCACAAUACCGGUUCUGCCUGUCCUAUCAACGGAGGGUGGACUAUAUAAGAAUCAACGAAACUGUCACUAUCGCGAACUACCACACGACUCGGCCAAAAGGAUACAUUUGCAGAUAAAUAACAUCUAAGCACCACGCUCACAUGUGAUCUAUCACCUAACUCCCUCGCGACAAGAGCUAAGCGCUUUGCAAACUUAUACAUAAACUCAUUAUCAAUUAGAACUAUAUCAAAUAUAGAACUAGAGCAAACUAAGAACAUAAUAAUUAGAGACAUAAUGCAAUUAGAACAAUAGAAUUAGAGAAAGAUAUGAAUAAUACCAAUCUUUAUUACCGAAGAUCCGAAUCCAGAGCGUAGUGCUCUACUUCUCUAAUUGCUAUCUAAUCAAACCUCUAAACUUGAAGGAUUAGGGAGUAGCUAAUUCUAAUUCUCUGUGGGAGAGAAGCUCUAAACCCUAACUUUAAUGGCUACCUCUGAAUAAUGAUUUCUCCUCUUCUCCUCCAGGGGCCAGGGGGUCUGGUUUUAUAGUCCCCUCAAGUGAACGUGAGCCAUUGGAUCAAACCGACAUAGAUUGUAUGGUUUAGAUUGAUCCUUUAGGUCGGUGGAGCGUAGUCCCGAAGCAGAGUCCUGAUUGGCUUCCUGGCCAGGGCGGGCACCCAAGGGGGGUGGGCGGGCGCCCAACCCCCGAGCCCGAAUUGCUUCCCGUUCGUUCCCGUGGCUUCUAGACCCUUCUAGAUUAAGGAAAAUUGCGCGGCACGUAAUUAUCUCGUUGUAAACAUGACAUGUGGGCCUUCUCUCCCUAUUUUCUGAUAAACCCCUGCAGAAAUAGAUAAACACCAAAGCUCGUGGAAUUCUGUCAGAUAAAACCCUAAUUCUAGAUGUUUGUUUCAUAUUGAUCCUUUUUCAUGUUUAUUUGAUUAUUAAUUUUAGUACUUAAGGACCGUCAACAUAUGUCUAGGUUUGGAGUAGUUUCAUUUAUCUCUUAAUUAAGCAUGGUGCUUAGUUUAGGAAUGAUGAUCUUACUUCCAAGGAAUUUUAAAUUAAGCAUGGUGCUUAGGUUAAAAUGCCCUCCUAAAUCAAAUUAGACAUGGUGUCUAGGUUGAUUUUUGAGCCGAUAGUAUGCUAUAGUAGAUAUUGGAUAUUUUGUUGGACUAACCCCUGCAGGAAAACUUUCAAUAUCGACCUGGGAAGUCUUGAGAUAAACUCACAUUGGAGACAAAGAGAGAGACACAUGAAGUUUAACAAUUUAUACAAGGAAGGCAUAACUCACAAGAGAUGAUCCAUGGAGGGUGCCACAAACACGAUGCACAACCGCUAAGAAAGGAAAGCUUCCACAUGGUGAUAUUGUACCAUCACUCUUCAAGUAAGGUAACAUCUUAAGGUACUUGACUAUCACUUUUAUAAGUUUCUCCUUGGUUUUGGCGUUCACAUGAAUAAAAGAGACAAACAUGUAUGAUUUACAACUCUAGAUUAACGAACCCAAUCGAUUCAACAGGUUUAGUCCUUCCACCUUUAUGAUCCCACACUCCUAAUGAUAUGAGCUAAAAUGUUGCACACGCAAUCUUUGGAAGAUAUAUAAAAAAACAUAAGUAUAGAUAGAUUAUCUUUCCAUUAGGUUGAGCGAUCUGAUCUGACAAAUGUUUUAAAUGCUACACUCAUGAUCUUAUUAUCCAUCAACUUUGUCUUGCUCACUAUGCUUAAGGUUAGAGAAGAACAAAUACACUUUUGGUUAUGUUGGUGUUUUCCACCAACAGGGCCCAUGCACUUGAUCUCUGCCUUGUCUCUAUGAGCAGGUACACUUCAAGCAAAAUAUGAAGGAGUUUUACAACUCCUAGACUCCACCAAGUGAAGAACCUGGAUCUACGAGCACAAACACACUGGAGAUACUGGACACUCAGGUAAUGACUACCCUCAGAUGCUUGAGGACGUAAACUACAUCAACAACAACAACUACUACUACUACUACUACAACCGUCCUCAACAAAAUCAAGGUUGGAAUCAACAUAGGCCUAACUACUCAGGUAAUUAUCAAGGUAAUAAUUCUUACAAUAAUAAUAAUAAUUUUCUACUUAUGAGAGAGUUAGUGUCUAAUCAAGGAAAGCUAAUGUAUAACCUAUCUAAGAAAUUGGCAUCUAAUGAUAAAAUGUUAGAAAAUAUAAAUAAUAGAAUGGAUAAUUUCUCUACUGCCAUCAAGGAUCAAAUUAGCUUUAAUAAAAUAAUUGAAUCUCAGUUAAAUCAAAUAGCUGCUGUUGUUCCUGCUACUAACCCCGAUAUACCAUCACAACAGGAAGGAUUAGAAUCUACAAAUCUUGUAGACAUGUUUGAUGCAGGUAACUACUGGAGUAACCCUGUUAUGGAAGUAAUUACUGACCUUCUGCCGGUCAAGAGAGGCGAUCCAGGACACCCUGUCAUCCCGAUCUCCAUCGGCAUGGUAGACUUCCCAGAAGCACUCUGCGACUUUGGCUCCAGCGUCAACAUUAUGCCCAGGGUACUCUAUGAAAAAUUGUUUACACAUCCUUUACUAGAAACAACCAUGUGUUUGCAGCUUGCAGAUCGGACACUAAGUUUCCCAAAGGAAAUAUUGAAGAACUGCGUCCGAGUUGGUACCUUGUACGCCCCAGUAGACUUCGUGGUGAUAGAGACUGGUAGUGAUGAGAGGGCACCCAUCAUCCUAGGGAGGCCAUUCCUGAACACCUCGGGGGCUGUCAUCUACGCUAGUGCUGCCAAGAUUAGUUUCUACAUCAACGGGAAGAAGGAGACGUUUUCCUUAAAGAACAAGACUACACAAAUCUUAGAGCAAUCCCGACAUGAACCAAGGAAGAGGACCAACAGGAGGAAUAGGAACAAGCAAAUGUGGACCGAGUCAGCUAAGAUGGUCACUACAGUUCAAGGAGGUCAAGAUCGUCGACUUAAGUCACCGUUUGUGACCAAAAAGGACGACCCAGGUAUGCCAAGCAUCCAGUGCUCCAUUAAUGGAUACCACUUCCAGAAGAUGCUUUGUGACACCGGGUCAGGCGUCAACAUAAUGGCCGCAGUCACCUAUCAGCUCCUGUUCAGAACCAUGCCUCUAAAAUCGACAUACAUUCAGCUCUAGAUGGUAGAUUAGACAUUCCGAAAGGUUGAAGGUUAUUGACAUGGGAGAAGAUGAGUACGAUCCAAACAUCAUCCUUGGGAGACUGUUCCUCGGCACCGUUAAAGCAUUCAUCUAUUUUGGAACCGGAGAAGUCCACAUGCACUUCCCCUCUGAGAAGGUACGCCGCUAUCUUACUGACCCUAACUAUAUAGUUGAAGACUCUAAGCAGGUCAGGACAAGAAGAAGACGACGCAACCGUAACCAGAGGAGGCAAAUAAUCAAGGACGGAUGGGCAGACUACGAAGAAAAAGUGGUAAGGUCUGAAGACAUACAACUUGAACAGAACUGUCCUUAGGAGACCGUAGCACUGAGUCAGGUGUGGAGAGAGAAGAUAGUUAUACACGAAGAGGAGGCGCUGCCGGAACCACCGACUAUGCCAUCCAGCAAAUCCCAGGACGACUGAGAAAACGGAGAGUCCCGUUCGGAGGACUUAAAAACACCGAACGCCUUGCCAAGAGGUAAACUUGGUAGUUAUCCUUUUUCCUUUCAACUAUUUAAAAUAGUUUGCUUUGUUAAUCAGGUUCAUAUCAUCUUGAAAAGAAAAUAAAAAUGUUAAAAAUAGUAAGCCCCAUGUGAGUAUGCUCAUGGCAUAAAACCCAUAAGUACAUUCACUGUGGUGGCAUAAAAAUAAAAUAAAUAUAUUAUUAUCAUAUAAAAAUGAAAAUAUAAAAAUAAAUUUAUGAUCCUACCAAAGAGUGUAACAUUUAUUGAGGAGGCUCAACAUGAUAAAGGCUAGAUAUUUAUGCUAACACUUAACUAGUUCCACAAAGCUUUUUUAUCUAUUUGAGCUCCAUAGAAUUCAAGGAUCAAAGAAGACUAGCAGACGGAGGACAUCCUAAUCGCUGUCAGGGUGCUGCCGAUAUUCAAAUACACCUCCGCCACCUGCUAGCUACAUCAGAAGAAAUUAAGUCAAAAUCCAGCUUGGGGGAGAGCACCCCAUUUAUCCAGCUAAGUGUUCUACUCAUGUUUAUACUUUACUCAAAUAAUAAAAAGAUGCAUAAUCAUAAAAACCCAAAUAAAGAUUUUGUGCUUAUAUAUAUAUCUUUUCUUAGUUUGCUAAAUAAAUAAAUAAAUAAAGUUUGCUAUGAACCCUCAUGAUAAGCUCUCACAUGGAAAUGAUGAAUAGUUGCUCUGCCAUGACUAGUUCUCAAAAUUGAAAUCUCUCUCAAGUUUAGGCAUGACUGUUAUUAAUUAAGAUUUGCUCUAAAUUUGAACUUGUGGGAAGAGUACUUGAUCUAAAGUCUAAGUCGUUAACGGAUACGAUAUGUGAAGGUUGAGCUGCUGUUUAUCUGUUCCUAGAUAUGCUAGAAUUCUGGAGAAUUUUAUCUUUGAAAAUCUUUAAAAUGUUGCAUGAUGAGUUCCUGUAUGAUGAGAGUUUAAAAUCCUACCACAGCCAUAUAUACAAGCUUAUUAGACUAUGAACCAUACAUUUACUUUUUACUGUUUAUGAGCAUUGAGUGUGGUCAAGCUGUGUAGACCCUUAGGAGCUUGUCAUGUGGUUAAAAUCAAGAUUCACUUGCACGUUCACUCAUACAUGCUGCUUCUACUCCGGAAGUAUGCAUCCACAUACAUCCACUCGUUUCCAUAUCCAGAUUCACCCAAAAUUAUUCUACUCCUAUCUUUGAGAGAAUAGUCAAAAACAUUAUCCUCUCUCUCUUAUUCCCCGUGAAAUAAAUGCUCGAGAUAUUUUGGUUACUACCACUUGCUAUAUUAUUCCAGGAGGGUGAGUGCUCUGUAAAAAAAGUGAAUACGAGGAAAUAAAAAGGGGCAAGUGCCCGAAACCUCGAAAAAAAAGAAGAAAAAGUGAGACGAGAGGUAAAAAUGGACAAGUGUUUGACAGUAGAAUUAGGGGUACAAGAUACCCACCUGAGAGAAAAGAAAAAUAAAAUAUAGAGCUUCUCAUUCCCCUCAAAAGCCUCAAGUGCAAGGAAGGUAUGUACCCCCUCAAAACAGCAAAAGUAGAAUUAGACUUUCACCAUUAUUUUUACCAUUAUCACCAUUCAUUCGCCACACAUGCACAUCUUGAUUUGACUUAUUGACUUGUUCUUCUCGAUCCAUGGUUUGACUAUGCAAUAAAUGUCUUGUAAGUAUGCAUUAGCUGUCUCCCACCUAUAAGCUCCAGAUAUCAAAACCUUAUUAGAGUAGGGUGAGAGAGAAGGCAAUGCCACUAUGCCUCAUACUAAAAAUACCACAUACUUUGAGAGAAGGCAUACACAAUUACUGCCUUGGUAAGGAUCCACAAAUACCACAAAAGAGAGACUAGAGAGAGUCAUACAAGGAAUCUCUGUGUUUUAUUUGAAAUUUUGCAAAAACUCCAGAGCUAUAGUUAAUCGAAGAACAAGAGACAUGGCGCUUGAGUAGACCAUUCUAUCUUUUAACUGCUCAAGACACAAGGGACGGUUGCAAGCCCC